AGCAAAAACAUCUCUGAACAGAAUAACGACAGGUAAUAUUGUGAGUUGAUGUAUAUUGAUGAGCGGUCAGUGGAAAGAACAACUUGGGUAGCUGCGGCUAGGGUUCCUUUCCAAGCCCUAUCUAUCUAGUAUAUAUAGCAUUUUGUAAACUUUUCAUUUUGGACCAAAAACCCCCAGUUUUUCUUUUAAAGUGAUGGGCAAUUAUGUAAUUUAAAAUAUAAUAUUUGUGAUGGGUAAAUUUGUAAAUAAAAUUUAAUAUUUAUAAUUAGAUAUUUUGUUGUAUUCAUGUCUUCCUCUCGGUGGUCUCCCGGUGUUUUUGUUUGCGCUUUGUAAUUCUGGUAUAUCUUCAUCUAGUCUCUCUCUAAACCAUGUGCAACCCUAGUUAAUCUAGCUUUUCUCUUUUUAAUUCCCCAUAUCCUAGACAAAUUUAUGUUUUGUGAAAUAAGGUUUCAAGUUUUCUUGAUAUGGAUAAAGAUAUAGUGUUUCUUCCUGCUUGUGAUUUUCGUAAGUGUUCGAAAUCGUCAAAAUGUAAAAUUAAAAUGGUAAAACUGAGUAUCAACUCAACUGUGGGCUUUCGCACCGGUUUUCGACCCACCAACUGUGGGCGACUAAUCUGGCUUGUGCGUAGAGGCAUGCGCACUGGCCAAGUGUUGUUUCCCCUGGGAAUCGAACCCGGUAUUCCCCGGAUACGUCCUUGGAAUGAGCUCCUUGCCACUGGAGCCCAAGCAACUUGGUUAAUAUUUAUAUUUUAAUUGAAUAAAAAGUUACUAGAUUUAUUGGAUAUCAAUUAUGAAAAUUAAGGAAAUUAAGAUUUGUUUGAACGUUAGAAUAAUAAAUGGUUAGAGAUGAGAUUCACUAGAUAACUGUCAUAAGUUAUCAACUUUACCAUGACUAUUGAAUCCCUUUAUUUAAUUACUACCGAUUUCUCUAAAAUAAAUUUCCCCAAUUCCUUAGUGACAUAAUCGUUAAUUCCAAUUGUUAUUAACCCCUGAUUCCUUAGAGAAUUCAAGAUUAAAUUAAGCAUGAAAGUACAACUCACACGGUUUCAAAGGUUUGCAUCUAUACCUAUACUGCAAAGGCAAUAAUUGCUUAUUUCAAAGUGUUCAUUAACUCAACUUCUCUUCAGCACCACUCACACGGCCACACGUGUGCAAUAUUAUGCCAUCUCAAGGCCACACACUCAAGGGAGCACGUCAACUCGCAUGCGCCAUGCCACACUGGACUAUGCUUCCUUGCCGAGAUCACGCUACACGUGUCCACUCCCUCUCUUAAUCAUACACAGCAUAACCCGGAGACUGUUAUGCCAAGAGUGCGCCUACAUAAGGGUGAACUUUCUUCACCCUUAAGGUACACAAAACUUUUCACAACUGUCCAAAGAAUUUUCUCUCAAUUCCAUUAUUGACUUGAUCGUCGGAGUGCUAACGUGCCUGCAGGCACCUUUUGUUCCACCGCAGAAGACGCUUUACCGCUGUACCGGAGUCGUUAUCGAUCAUCAGAGCAUUCUCUACAACCCUUGUGACUCAGCCGUUCUCACCGGGCAGAUCAUUUGGCGCUAGAAGGAGGGGAUCGUUCGCUAAACCGCCUCAGUCCAACGAUCCUCCAAUGUAACCUUUUUUCGUUACACGCAUCUCUGCCGUAACAGUUUUCGGAUUACACAUUCCUCCACCGCAAUGGUCAACAAUUACUGUUCCUGCUUUCAAAGCAAUGGCCGGAACUCGCAGAAGAACCGAAGCGAGUCGCUCCGCCACCUUUCCAGCACCACGUUCGACCAUCCAAAUUCUUCAGAGACGAACGGUUCCGAUACUUGAACCGGUGAAUACUGAAGGAAGCAAUGCUAUCCUAGACACCACAACCGGUGUUUGUGCUGCAACCGCCUUGAAUGCAACGGCGCUGCCUCCACCUCUCACACAACCUGAGAACUCUCCUCUUCAGUCAUCUCAAGCUCCACCGCCUCCGGAUACGAACAAAGUCCUCACGAACCUAGUAAACCCAGUCCGCCAACAGAAUGAUAGACUCGAACGUCUCGAGAAGAAUCGGGAGAAGAUUUCACUGUUUUGUUAACUUGUAUACCUUUGACGAAGAUUUCACUGUUUUGUUGUUUGAUUUGGAGCCUUUAGAACCAAAGUAGCAAUAAAUUGAGGAACAACAUUUUGGAUAGAGUUAUCAAGCAAUUGAUCAAACAAAGGUUUGAUUAGAUGAUUGGAAUCUUGCACGCUGCAGCAGAACUUCUUCUGUUCCCCUGCAGCACGGCCUGCAUUUGCUGUCACAGAUGGGAUAGUUUCUUGCAGCCGAUGCAGUCCCAAAUGAUGCUUCUGCCAUGUUUUCUAAUGCAGUGACAAAUUUGAAGUUGAAAAAACCUAGUGCAAGUGCAAUAUCGGUGCCUCUUUAUCGAUCAAUUCGAAUAGGAUUUUGAUUGGGAUUUGUAUCUGGGAUCAUCAUGGUCAAUUCAUGCUUCCUAAAACCGAAUGUUUUACUGCAAUUUGUGAUGUGGAUAUUGGCGAAGCUCUCGGUCUUUUAACGGCUCUACAACGGGUUCAUGAAUUACAUUUAUGUCUGAGUUUGGUCAAAUCGGUCGACAAUAUAAACUCCUUCAUAGUUCUCUUUAUAGAAACUCUUAGGUAGAGUUUGUUAGAAGGAAAGCAAAUGAGGUCGCACAUGCUAGAAGUAGCCACAUCUUUAGGUAGUGUCAAAAAAAAAAAAAAUUUGAACAAUAGCUAGUGUCAAAAAUAUUGAUUGACAGUCCUGCUUGUAUUAACAAUAUUCUUAUGAAUGAAAUGCUAUAAGUUAGUUUGAGUAAAAAAAAAUGAUAGUGUGGUUAGUGUCAACUUUGCUGAAGAAAAAAGUUAGUAUUAUUGCGUAAAAAAAAAAACUUUCAGUGGAUGCACAACUUAGGGAAAUGACUGGGACAGACACACACCGUAUUGUGCAUAUAUAUGACACAUUUAUUCAUCAAAGUUCUGAUCACGGUCAACUGAGAUAACGGCAUAGAAGGAAUAAAUUUAUUAAUUCUAAGUACAUAUAUGUAGCAGACCCAAUGAGAAUAGUGAUGGUGGGUGAUAGCAGAUGAAGCAAGAACUCUCCUCAGAUUCGGUGUGUCUCGGUGUUGGACACACGCCGGUGUCUGACACCGACACCUAUGAUCAUUGAAUUAUAUUAUUUUCUUAAAUUAUUACAUGUGUCGGUUUAUCGGUUUCCCCGUGUCGUGUCCAGUGUCCGUCUGUGUAUAUGAAGAAGGAGACAAUGCAGCGAUCAUGAUGGAAGAAAACUCCUAGUGAAAGGAAACUAUGUAUAGACAUUUUCCUUUGUAGAGAACCAGAAGGAUCACUUGGUAUUUUAUAUAAGUUAUCUUUUGCAACACAUACUUUAUAUUUGGAUAAAUAUUAAAUUAUAUAUGUACAAUAUUUUCAGCACCUUUAAUGAUGUGUUGGUUGUUCAAAUGGUAGACUGUCACAUAAAAUGAACUUUAAUUGGAUUGCUUAUAUUCCCUGCAUGCAUUUUUUUACAAGUUGCAGCCAUCUUGCAAAGUCUGGUUUGAACUUUAUAGGGACUUCAUUGCAAUAUGUGUUGGAGCAUUAUUCUUCAUUGGAAUGAUACUGCCACUAUAUAAAGCUAUAGAACUAGAAACCUAUGUUUACUCAAAUAGUCAUAAAGCAGCCUGCAGUAGCAAUUGGUUUUGUUUCACAAAAAUUUUGACAACACUUUUUCCCUUAUGACCCUUAAUUUGUUUGAAAAAUCUUGCACAUUCUGCUUAAAGCUAUUAUCGCAUUGUCUAAUUCUAAUGUUUGAGAAUUCUGAAGAAACAAAUUUUAAAGUGUUGUUGUUAUGAGCAGGUGAAUCAUGACUACAGGUGCUUAUGAGCCAUUUUUCAGCAUCAAUACCAUUUCGAAAGAAAACUUUUUAUGGGAAAGUUUCUUCAAACAUUAGAAGAACUGAAGUUGUAAAGGGGUCUGUCUACAAGGUGUCAAAGGAGCUUCAAGUUUUCUCAACCGUGUUGCAGAAACAUUGUUAAAUCUUCUGUUUUCUGCGUUGGGAUUUAGAACUGGCAUGGAUUUGACAAAUUCAGGUUUCUCUUGGGCUCAACUUGCAAAGAGGGUCAAUGAAAUCAUCAACAAAAGGGUUGUUUUUGUUGUUGAUGUUGAUGUUAUAGUCUUUGUAUUUGCACAAAAAACAGCAACAUGAUGUAUUAGAUAAAAUGCUAGUAUUCUUCUUAAAAAAUAAAAGUGAGUUGUUUAAUCAACCCGUACAAGAACUGUAUUAGAUUUUUUGUUUUCCGAUCAUCAGAAAUUAGUACAUUAGAAAAUUGGAUAAUUUGAAAUAUAAGAUAAUUUCUUCUGUUCUUUCCGUGUACUUGAUUUUUAGUAUUAACUAACAAUUGGUAAUAUGUCAUAAUACUAAUCUUAGCGGUUUCCAAUUGUUGUACUCACAAUUUAAGCCUAAUCUUUCCACUAAUUGAUGAUUGCAACUAGUGGAAACAUAAGUGCAAAAUUCUGCAAUGUAUAUUAGCGAAAUUAUUCUUAGAGCAGAUAGAUAGAUAUAUUCGGUAUAUGUUGCAAUCAGCUCAAGUUUGAUUUUGUUGACUUAAACAAAGCUUUAUUUUUCAUGUUAUUUGACUUAUAAGUUGAUUGAUUUUAUAAGGUCUUUCGACACUGUUUUGCAUUGUUUCAAAUGAUGCUUUAAUUUCAUGUUUGGAUUACUUGAAAGUACUAGGUUUAAUGUGGUUGCUUUGGAACUUAACUUGUUACAGUAGUUGUUAUCUCUUUUACUUUGAUGUAAUCUGAGCUAUGUGAUGAUUUGGUAGCUUUGGUUGAUAUACUCGAUUUUUUUGUUUGCCUCAUCUGAUGCAUGCUAUAUCAGGUUUUCUUUCCCUCCUCAACCCCCUUUUUAUCGAUUAUUUACUUUCUAUUCUAUUUUCAUUUGCUCAAUCAUCAUAAGAGUUAUGCAAGUCAAGUUGUCAUCAAUACUUAGAUACAUUUUUACCAUUAGUCUAAGAGAGGAUUUUUAAAAAUUGUGUAAAAAGUGUGGAGAAGAUCUUUGAGGAGAUUAAAGUCGUGUCUUGGAGGUGGAAACUUAGUGGUUUGAAGUCAUUCCCCUGCCUUUAUUACAAAUGGUUUAAUUGGCAUAGAUGUAAGAAGUUUAGUGCCGUGUCUGCUGGCUUUCUGGUGUUUUUCCUGUGCUGCCUGGGAAUUCUCUCAUUCAGAAAGUUCCUUUUUGUUUCGGCUUUCAGUUCUGUCUGUGUAUGUAUUUUGGUUUUUGUAGGUGGUGAGUAUUGUUUGGUUUUGUUUUCGGCGUGCAGGCGCAUUUAGUCUUGUUUGAGGCGUGUCGGCUGGUUACUGGUAACUGGAAUUUUAAAUCGUUCAUGCUUGCUGAUCUCUGCUCAAGAAAUUGUAAAACUUACAUUUGUUUCUCCUGUAAUAGGAUACAAGCAAGAAAUCUCCAAUGGAGCUAUCAAUGAAGUGCCAACUAUUAAGGUCGAAGGCAGGAUAGUUGCUUGUGAAGGAGAUACAUUACUAAUUUUGAAAAUUUCUAUUCUCUCUUCUUCCUUGCAUAAGUGAGAAAGAGAUAAAGACCUAACAGGUGAAGUUUUGUUGAUUAUGUAGGAGGAUUUAAUUAAGUUGGAUAUUGUUGUCUGUGAUCAUAAUGUGUUUUAGGAAAUUGCUGCUGAACAUCAUAAUGUGUUUUUGGUUACGAUGUUCUCUGACCAAAUCAUAUGAUGUAAUAAAUGUACUUGUCUGUUACGAUUUGCUAAAUAAGAAUAUGACAAAAUUGUUCAUGUUACCAUCUCAUACAGAUGGGGUCUUACAUUGUUGUGUCUGUACUAUGCAGAGCCGGCAAUUUGUAUGAAGCUGGAGGUAUAACAUAUUACCAAUUGUUAGUUAAUACUAAAAAUUAAGUACACGGAAAGACCAGAAGAAAUGAUCUUAUAUUUCUAAUUAUCCAAUUUUCUAAUGUACUAAUUUCUGAUGAUCGGAAAACAAAAAAUCCAAUACAGUUCUUGUACGGGUUAAUUAAACAACUCACUUUUAUUUUUUAAGAAGAAUACUAGCAUUUUAUCUAAUACAUCAUGUUGCUGUUUUUUGUGCAAAUACAAAGACUAUAACAUCAACAACAAAAACAACCCUUUUGUUGAUGAUUUCAUUGACCCUCUUUGCAAGUUGAACCCAAGAGAAACCUGAAUUUGUCAAAUCCAUGCCAGUUCUAAAUCCCAACGCAGAAAACAGAAGAUUUAACAAUGUUUCUGCAACACGGUUGAGAAAACUUGAAGCUCCUUUGACACCUGGUAGACAGACCCCUUUACAGCUUCAGUUCUUCUGUUGUUUGAAAAAACUUUCCCAUAAAAAGUUUUCUUUCGAAAUGGUAUUGAUGCUGAAAAAUGGCUCAUAAGCACUUGUAGUCAUGAUUCACCUGCUCAUAACAACAACACUUUAAAAUUUGUUUCUUCAGAAUCCUCAAACAUUAGAACACUAGAUAAUGCGAUAAUAGCUUUAAGCAGAAUGUGCAAGAUUUUUCAAACAAAUUAAGGGUCAUAAGGGAAAAAGUGUUGUCAAAAGUUUUGUGAAACAAAACCAAUUGCUACUGCAGGCUGCUUUAUGACUAUUUGAGUAAACAUAGGUUUCUAGUUCUAUAGCUUUAUAUAGUGGCAGUAUCAUUCCAAUGAAGAAUAAUGCUCCAACACAUAUUGCAAUGAAGUCCCUAUAAAGUUCAAACCAGACUUUGCAAGAUGGCAGCAACUUGUAAAAAAAUGCAUGCAGGGAAUAUAAGCAAUCCAAUUAAAGUUCAUUUUAUGUGACAGUCUACCAUUUGAACAACCAACACAUAUCAUUAAAGGUUCUGAAAAGAUUGUACAUGCUAGGACUUUUACCCGUGCUAACGCCCGGGACAUUAAAAAUGAAGAAGCUAAAAAAGUUCCGAUAUUAUUCAUUACAUAAAAAAUAACAUAAAUAAACAUAAAAAGUAUUUAGAGGCAUACAAAAUAUUGGGUCACACAUUUUCGAAUAUUUCCUUAUAAACUACAUUUGAAGUGGUGCUGAUACAAUCCCCAUUGUCAUCUGUUAAUAAUAUUUUCAGACCAUCUCUUGAUGUAACACGUGAUAUUGCAACAUAUAGUUGCCCAUGUGAGAAGACCAUCCCUUGAUGUUUCUUCAUCUGUUAAUAAUAUCAUCUGUUAAUAAUAUCUUCAGACCAUCCCUUGAUGUUUCUUCAUUGUUGGACUCAUCGUCAUCUUCUUCAUUGCAAGUCUAUUUGAUAACAAUUGCUUCAAAUUUAUGAAGUUUUGGAUCAAUCAACGGGACAUAAGGUUGGAGUUUGGAACCAAAAUCCUCAAUCAACAGACCAGGCAAGCAGGAAUUUCCCUACAACAAAAUUGCACAUUUUUAAACCAUAAUAUUUAGAUCAAGACACAAUAAUGAAAAGAAUGAGUGUUUAAAAAAGAACUUACGUUGGUAGGAUUAAAUUCAACCGAGUAUGUUCUGAAUCUAAGUUUGAGUGAGUUGACAAAGAUGUCUCUCUCGGAAGUGGAAGUGGCUUGAAUGGGUGCUAAUCACAAUUUACAUGGCUUAGCAUGCAUUGAUCUUCAUAGACUAUAUACAUCAGAGACCUGAUAUUCAAUCACAAUUUACAUGGGUGAAUGCAAAAUGGUUAUUGGUUACUGCCAUUCUUUCAUAGCAUGCAAAACAAAGAGAGACAUUUUUGAGUUAGAUUGAUCUCAUCAAAUACAUAAUAUAUAUUGGACCGUCAUAAUAUUCCUAAGGACCUAAAAGACCUCCAAAAGGGCUUCUUAGACCCUCAGAAAGGACUCAGCGCCCUUGGAGAAAGCCCAAAGGCCCAAGGCGCAUGUUUCUCAAAUAGCCGCCUUACUAAACCUCUAGAACCUUCUAGAAACCGCCCAAAAUACCUAAAUAUCCCUAUUACUUGGAGACUAAGCAACCAAAACCCAAGCCCAUAGAAGGCUAUAAAUACCACCCUUCAGAACACUCUCAGGUAUCCAAUAUUCAGUAUAAACCCUAAGAGACGAUUCUUAACCUAGAAUCCUUAUUGUACUUUUUCUGCAAGUACAGUUGGCGCCGUCUGUGGGAAGAGGUAAAACUAACCUCGACCACGUUUCUGAAUCAGAAUCUGUGAUUUGGAAACCCUCGACCACGCCUCCUUUCAACUUUCAUGUUUACCAUCAUGACACCAACCCUGCUUCAUGGCCUUCCUGCUCCGUCGACGCCGCCGAGAUAGAUAGGAAAGCCAGCCCUUGUCGUAAGUCGCCUAAAUAUCAAUAAUACCGUGUCAGGUUGUUACUUUCUAACUUUGUUACUCUCCGUUCAUCCUUUUGUUGCAAUUCUUAAAUUAACGUAAGAUUAUUAUGAUUGGCUCCUGACCUAUAUUAUUUGAGUCACGUCGGAAUUUAGUUUUCUGCUAUUACUAUACUUUAUGUCCGUCGUUUGUGCGACAUGUAUAUAAUUUGGCUAGCUUCGAUAUACGUGUUUUCGGUUUUAUCAUAUGUUCGAUUUUUGAUUUAUCUGAUUGGAAUUCAGUUUUGGUAGACUAAAGCAAGCCGACAUAAUAUUGUCUUCUUUGAUGCGAUUCGGUUUGAUAUAUAUGAAGAUUUGUGUCUUUAGUUAUUUAAUUCUUGUUAAAAUCCAUAACAGUAAGAACCGUGCUAUUACUUGUUUCUAACUUCUAUUUCCCAACAUAUGGAUACUGCCGUAUUCAUAUUAGACUUUCUUAUCCCUCUAUUGGAGUAAAAUUCUUAAUUGACAAACAUAGUGUUCUCUGGCAUUUAUUUGACUUUAUUAUGUGCAAAUAUCGCUAUCAUAUAAAUAUAAGAUAAAAGAUGUAUAUAUACAGAUGCUUUCGUAAAUUAUUCAUCGCAUGCUUGGGUUUUUAACUGCACAUGUGUCAUUAAGUUUUAACUUACACUACUAGUUUUUAACUCACUCAACUAAAGCGAGAUUAUUGUUUACGUGAUACGUAAUGCCCAAUAUUUAAUCUACUACUAGUUUUCAUAUCUGCAUUGGUUUUUCGGUGGAUAUAUAUAUGCACUGUGCUGCAAUUGGCUUAUAGUUUUUUUGGCAAUAGUCUAGUAUGAUAAUUGAUAUUUUGGAGACAAUAGGUUGGACAUUCAUCCCUGAUUUCAUUAAUACUACAGCAAGGUUGUUGUACUUCCUAAGUAAUUUUCAGGGCCUCAAGAUUCAACAAACAAACUCAAUUUCUCACCUACAUCAACCCGGUUAUAAGUGAAAUUUCCAGGCGGUACGAUAACACAACAUGGCGAUUUCUACAAAAUCAGCUCCCUUGAAGCCAUCUCGUAUCAGGUACUAUUGUUCCAUUAAUUUUGUUGAGCACUACUUUUUGACAAGGUACUUCCUCUCUUUUUUCUAUCUUCAUCGGUGAUUUGGGCCAAGAUAGCACUUAUUCAAUUAGUUUCAAAUUUUCAAUUACUAAUUUUGGAGGCACGGUUCUACUUCUGCUAUAUAUAUGAUAAAGAAAUACUUCUGCUAAAAGGAGUGUAAAAGCUAAAGGAAGAGACUUUUAGUUGAAGUAUAUUGUAUAUUGGAUAGUUAGUUUCUAUUGAAUAUGAUUGCAUAUGAUUAAGGACUCGUUUAUUUAUGAUAUUGAUUACUUUGGAAGUUUGAAAGAAUUGUUAUAUUUCAGAUAAAUCAAGGUUGGGAUACUAACAAGCCCGCCAAGGGCUAGAUGAAUAAAAGGAGAGAACUCGCCAAUCAACACGUCAUAAUUAAACGAGCAUGGAAGCAAUAGUCCCGCCAUAGAAAACAUAAAGAUGAAACGCGGAGUUAUAUCCUAAAAAUAACUUUUUCGACUUUUGAGAUUUGUUUUGCAGGUUUUUAAUGAGAAGAUUAUCGAGAGACCGCCCAAACUGGGUCAACCUUUUUAAGGCUCUGACUCGGCGGCCCGAUAAAGGAGAAGUAUCGACAGACCGCCCAAACUGGGUCAACCUUUUUAAGGCUCUGACUCGGCGGCCCAAAAUUGAAAAAUCGACAGUCCGCCCAACAUUGAGUCAACCUUUUUAAGGCUCUGACUCGGCGGCCCGAUAAAUUGAAAAAUCGACAGUCCGCCCAAUAAUGGGUCAACCUUUCUAAGGCUCUGACUCGGCGGCCCGAUAAAUUGAAAAAUCGACAGUCCGCCCAACAAUGGGUCAACCUUUCUAAGGCUCUGACUCGGCGGCCCGAUAAAUUGAAAAAUCGACAGUCCGCCCAACAAUGGGUCAACCUUCCUAAGGCUCUGACUCGGCGGCCCGAUAAAUUGAAAAAUCGACAGUCCGCCCAACAAUGGGUCAACCUUUUUACGGCUCUGACUCGGCGGCCCGAUGAAGGAGAAGUAAGAAGAAGAUUCACAAGUAAUCAAAGAAUUCUAUUCUCGUGUGCAAAAAUCAUUCACGUAAAGUAUAAAUGGUGAAGGCCAUCUUUGCAAUUUGAACAUCUGGUUAUAAGCGAAAGUUCUUAUUAUGAACAAAGUUGAUUAUGAAAUUUAAACUUCAUCAACUGUGUUAAGUUAAGGCCGCCCUAAGAGGACGCCCUAAUUCGGUUGACAUUUUAACUCAUCAUCCCAGUCAAAAUCGUAGUCUUAAAAGACAAACAACGAUAUGAAGAAAUUUACAAAAUCAUCAAAAAUACUCACCAUCUCGCUCGAAACAUGAGAACGCCAAUGAGAUCACUUUAGAACUGAAGCACCACGCCUUGUACCAAGACUUGUGCUUGGGGGCUGUGGACCGUCAUAAUAUUCCGAAGAGCUUAGAGACCCUCGGAAGGAUCUUAAACGCCUUCUUAAGGACCUAAAAAGGUCCUUCAAAAAGUCUGUGGGUUCCAGACGCGUUCUCAAAAGACGUCGCCUUUCUGGACCCAAAAAAAAAAAAAAAAAAGUUUGCCUAAAUCUAUUCUCCAGCUCUAAAGCACCACGCCUUGUACCAAGACUUGUGCUUGGGGGCUGUGGACCGUCAUAAUAUUCCUAAGGACCUAAAAGACCUCCAAGGGCUUCUUAGACCCUCAGAAAGGACUCAGCGCCCUUGGAGAAAGCCCAAAGGCCCAAGGCGCAUGUUUCUCAAAUAGCCGCCUUACUAAACCUCUAGAACCUUCUAGAAACCGCCCAAAAUACCUAAAUAUCCCUAUUACUUGGAGACUAAGCAACCAAAACCCAAGCCCAUAGAAGGCUAUAAAUACCACCCUUCAGAACACUCUCAAGUAUCCAAUAUUCAGUAUAAACCCUAAGAGACGAUUCUUAACCCUAGAAUCCUUAUUGUACUUUUUCUGCAAGUACAUAUAUGAAACCAGAAUUUUUAAACCGUACAAACCUCUUAAAGCGCUAAUCGACAGAGCCUUGUUGACACCAAAAUUAUCAAUUUGCUGAAACGCAGUUGCUGGUUGUGAAAGGAAAUUCACAAAUUCAACCGAUAUAUACGAUGGUAUGAAUAUAAUCUGAUGCAAAUGAAUUUCGAUGUUAAUAAGAAGGAUAUUUAUAGGAGGUUCUCAUCUAAUGAUAUGAAUCGAAUAGGUUGGUGGUUUAUGUUAAAGUUGGUGGUUAACAACCUAUUUGAGAGUGUCAUACAAAGUCAGGAACUAAUUUGGUGGUUUAUGUUAAAGUUGGUGGUUUACCAUAAAUAAACUCCACACAUCUUUGCAAAUUUAGUGAGAGAAAAAAAAAACUGAGAGAAAUUAGACAGUGAAUUCAAUAAUAUAAUAUCUCAACCAAAUCCUUACAUUUGAAACUUCAUAUUUGAAACAAUCUCUUAGAUAGAAAGAUGUGUGCAGGCAUAAGACAGUAAUCAAUAACCACAUGAAAGCAUUAUUCAGAGCACGUAAUAAAUCAAAUAUAGGUUCUAAAAGUGGCUUAAUAUAAAUAAUAUAAAAGGAGAGUUCCAAAUAAUUGUUUGAUACUAAUUUUCGUUCAAAUCGCUAGUGGUUGGCAAUACAGUUACAAAAGCAAAGUAGCACUAAGCACCAUCAAUCUCAAAAUCAUCUUAGAGGUGGAGAGUGAUUGGACUCAGAACACAAUUCAAUUCAUAGAAAGGGAAAAGCUAUUACCUUGAGAGAAACUUUGCAAAAUUAGCAAAUCUGAACAGCGACGGCUUCUUUCUCUUUAUAUGGAGUGGCAGGUUUUAGGUGGAAAAAUUGUGUUGUUCUUUUUGUUUGCCUGGCUGAUACGAUGCUGCAGACGACAACGGCGAAGGUGAUGUCGGAAUCGAGAGCAUUGGUGAAGGGUGACGAUAGGAGAGAGCUGCGGCGACGGAGAGAGCGGCAACGGCAGAGGAUUUUGUUUGAAUGUCUGAGAGUGAGGUGGAAGAUGAACAACUCAAAGGGGAAAGAGAUUUUUUUGAGUAAAAGCAAUCUGAAUUUCAACACAUAAAGAAGGAAUAAUGGGAGAGGAGAGAAGAGAACUUAAAAAUGAAGGAGAAAGAGGUGGACAUGAUAAGUGUGGAGUCAAUUUGGGAAUUGGAUGAUAAUUAAUGAGUCAAAACUUGGAUAAGUGCAUAGGAAAUAUACAUUAAAUUUGAAAGUUUGACUCAGAUUAGAUCAAAGGAUGAGAUGCAUGCUUAGCCAAAUGAUGAGAUCCAACGGCCUCCCUUGUUUUGGAGCCAAAACCAUUUAGGUUUAGGGUUUUCAAAGUCAUUAGCAAUGUUAACAAAGAUUAGAUAUAAGUAUGAUAUAAUUUAAUAUUUUUCCAAAUAUAAAGGAUCUCCAAGUAGCAAAGGAUUCUAGUAUGAAAUCAAGACCUUGUCUGGCAGCAAGGAAGUAUUACAUUUAUUCAAUGUAUUGCCUCUUUUGGGAAAACUGAGAAAGGUUGGGUUCGGUUUACAAUAUAGAUUCGCAGAGUAAGAUGAACUUGCACUUGCACUUUUUCUGCCAAUUACUAAGUUGAUAUAAAGCUUUAAAAUAUUUAAGGGGUUCCAUUCAAAUGUAUGCGAGGUAUGUUACCUGUUCAGCGCGACAAGAUGAAGAUAGCGAGGAGGAGCAGAGGCUGGCAAAGCGGCAGAGGCAGGUGCAACAGAGGAGGAGGCAGGCAUGGAGAAUUGCGAACGAUAGCUGGUGUUCAUCGUGCCCUUUUCAGAUUCUUCAACCUACUUAGUAAACGCCAAUCACAAACUCUUAUUAGAUGUAUAAAUCAACCUUGACAAAGAUAAAUUUUAUUUAUAAGAUAUAUUAAUUCACUAAACACACAAGACACGAUAUAACCAAUACAAAGAUACAAAUAAUGAGCCAUUAUUAAAUAUUUCAAAUCAUAUGUAAGAGAGGUACACAUUGUUCUUUAUAUGAUCAAAUUAAGCUACUAUUCUGUCUUUUUCCAAUAUGUCACUGAUUAAUGGCCUAGCUUUAUGAUCAUAUACUCAUUGUAGUGUUUAGAAUGUUUAUAUUUAUAUACUUAAACUUCUGAUCUUUUGUGCUUAAAUUGUGCCAGCAUCAAAUAUCCCUGAUGGAUGGGAUUGGAUAUUGGACCUGAUUCCAUUAGAACCACGAAUGAAGGAUUCGACAAGUGUCGCACCAUCAUUUGGGAUCAAAUCAAGAACUUGAUUGAAUUUGAAUAAUCCUAAGCUUUAAGUUUCUAGCGAAGUUAAUAUAAAAAAGUUAAAUUAAUUAGGAAACAUUCCACCACACCAUAUAACCAUUUUUCUUUAACUUGAUAUUCUCAAUGAGAGUUAGAAUUAUACGAGAUGGAGUAUGUGUUGCAAAAGAUAACUUAUAUAAAAUACCAAGUGAUCCUUCUGGUACUCUACUAAGGAAAAUGUGUAUACAUAGUUUCCUUUCACUAUGAGUUUUCUUCCAUCAUGAUCGCUGCAGUGUCUCCCUCUUUAUACACAAACACAGACGUUGGACACGACACGGGGACACCGACACACUGACACAGAUAAUAAUUUAAGAAAAUAAUAUAACUCAGUGAUCAUAAGUGUCGUGUCGGUGUCUGACACCGAGACACCUAAUCCAAGAAGUUUUUGUAUUCAUGUACUAUCACCAUCACUAUUCUCAUUAGGUCUCCUACAUAUAUGUACUGAUAAUUCAUAAAUUUAUUCCUUCUAUGUCGUUAUCUCGGUUGACCGUGAUCAGAACUUUGAUGAAUAAAUGUGUCAUAUAUAUGCACAAUACGGUCUGUGUCUGUCCAUUUCCCUAAGCUAUGCUUCCACUAAAAGAUUUUUUUUUUUUUUUUUUAAACAAUAAUACUAACUUCUUUUCUUCAGGAAAGUUGACUCAAACUUAUAGCAUUUCAUUCAUAAGAAUAUUGUUAACACAAGCAGGACUGGACUGUCAAUCAAUAUUUUUUAAACUAGCUAAAGAUGUGGCUACUCUUACUAAAGCAUGCGCAACCUCAUUUGUUUGCCUUCUAACAAACUCUAUAAAGAGAACUAUGAAGGUGUUUAUAUUAACGAAUGAUUUGAUCAAACUCAGACAUAAAUGUAAUUCACGAACCCGUUCCAGAGCCGAUAAAAGACCGAGAGCUUUGCCAAUAUCCACAUCACAAAUUGGAGUAAAACUUUUGGUUUUAGGAAGCAUGAAUUGACCUUGAUCAUCCCGGAUACAAAUCCCAAUAAUAAUCUUAUUCAAAUUGAUUGAAAAAGAGGCAACCGGUUUUUUCAACUUCAAUUUUGUCCCUGCAUCAGAAAACAUGGCAGUAGCAUCAGCUGGGACUGCAUCGGCUGCAAGAAACUAUCCCAUCUGUGACAGCAAAUGCAGACCGUGCUGCAGAGUGACAGCAGCAGCUCUGCUGCAGCGUGCAAGGUCCCAAUCAUCGAAUCAAACCUUUGCUUGAUCAAUUGCUUGAUAACUCUAUCCAAAAUCAAACAACAAAACAGUCCAAUUUUCAUCAAAGGUAUCACACAUAACACAGUUUUCCGAGCAUGUCGAAAAAAAGAUUUGCCACAGCGCUACUAUUGCUAAUUAAAACAAACUAAAGGAGUAUGCAAUCUGAACAAUGUGACAAAAGGAGUAUGCAAUCUUCAUCAAAGGUAUCAAACAUAACACAUUUACAUGGACUGUUUAUUGCAAGAUCACGCAACCGAGAUCUGGUAGGCAAACAUUUACGACAUAUCUGCCAAAUCAGAUUUUUGACUUUAGCUGGUGCCCAUAACUUUCAAAUGAGAUUCCAUCGACCAUGAACUAUAUGAUGAGUUGGAUCAAUUAAUUCAUCAAUACAGUGUCGGUGAGCACGUCUAAUUGUAUGUUCUCCAGUCACCAAAUACUCAUCAUAUCCGUGACAACUGAAAACAGCAAUUCCUUUAUUUUUAUUUUUUUAAUACCAUCGGUGUAUGUUGUAUAUAUUUACAUAGGUUUUUAGUUUUACAGAAUGGAAAUGCAAGUUGUUGGUUGUUUAGUUACAUCAGUGUAUGAUGUAAUUCCUUUUAAUCUGAUGGAGAGUUCUGAUAAAAUCUUAGCGCUCAUAGAAUAACUAAAACUGUCUCCUAUUUAUCCAUUGAACAUGUCAAUUUUGGUUUUCAAUAUAAAACUUCAAAUCAUGCAAUUACAUCAUUGAGUUUGUACUAUCUAAAAACAAGUUGUACACUUUAAAUCUUAAACUUGACUAAUAGUACAAUAUCGAGCUACAUUGGCUGAAAUCUGUAAUCGCAUGUAUAUCGUGUGUUCUGUGUUUUCUUUUCUUUCGUGUCUUUUUAUCGUUGAACCAGAUUUAUGUUCUAACACUAAUUAAAUUCUCUACUAGUUAAGAUUAAGCAAAAAAGGUCAUAAAACCAUUGUAGAAUACUUAAGAAUUAAGAAACAACGGGAAAGAAACGGACGGAGAGUGAGAGAGAUUACGAUAAGGAUUUCCAAUAAGGAUCUUGAUGGUUUCUUUUAACAAAUAUUUUAUGCCUUCUCACUCAACAUAAUAUUUCUUAUUUUUAAUGAAUUGUUUGAUUUUCAAAGAGUGUACAAGAUGUUUGGAGUAAGAGAUUACUUAGAAAAACGUAAUCUAGUACCGAUUGUCGUUCGAUGGAAUCUUUGAGUACUUGGUUUACAUUUUGGAUCUUGUCAGUAUUUGCAUGAUAACUCUAAAAUUCCAUAACAAUGAUUCAGUUAAUAAAUAAUGAUGAAAGCACAAAAUAAGAUGUACUGAAGUUCAAACUGAUAUACUCAAAAACUCCCAUAAUAAGCUGUCUCAACACAAAAUAGAGAACAUAUGCAUAAUAUAAUUAAAAUAGAAACCAACACAAUCAAAAUGUGUCAUAGAAAGAUUUAUCUUACACUAAAGAGAACUUAAGCCUUAACUUGAUAAUAAAAUGAUAAAUCAUAGCAGCUAUGCUCUUAAAUCUUGAGAGCGAAAACGUUAAGCUUAGGCAACAAAUACCUAAUUCUUUAUUCCUCUCUGAUUGGAAUAAUAUUUUUCUUGUAAAUUACUGUUUGAGAAGAACAUAAUCUUUCAGUUUUAACACCAAUGUUCUCAAUUACUCAAGUAGUUAAAUCAAGACAAGCAAGUUCACCAUCAUAUUUUCUCAAAACUAUAUCAACCUUCUUCCCUGCUCCAAUAGGAUGGUCGAUGCCGGACAUAGGUCCAACAUCGAAAAGCUUAGUCCAUGAUUCAUUGACACCGGGUUCUCCCAAAACUGAUAUUGAUAUGCGGAAAGAAGAAGUGUUCUUUUCAUAAGUUAUGAUCAUAGCAACAAAACCAUUUAACGUUGUCAAGUGUUUAUCAAACCAUUUUAAACCGUGCGAAUCAAAGGGAAAGAGAGUGGUAACAGGAACCUCAUUGGCCAGGUCAAAAGACACCACAAAUGUUUCAAUUGGUUGACGAUAUAUUUUUCCCCACCAAUGGCAAACCCCAUUUAAGUACACCAUAGAACCUUCCGAAGUCAAAUAACGUUGUCGCAUAUCAACGUAAAGUUUCUUCCAAUGGUUACUUCGUAGACUAUAUAUGUCCCAAUGGGUGGCGGGUGGUGCCACUUGAUCCCAAUCAUCUUCAAUAUAAACAACAUGCUGAAGGACCUUAUAAUCAUCUCUAACACGAUCAUAACCAAAUCCAUGAAUAGUAAAAUAAGAUUCAUGUUUAUACAUCGGAGCCUUCUUUUCGGGAAUAAUUUUUAAUUCCUCGGUAGCGGGAUUCCACAACACAGUAGUUGACGUAUCGUGAGCAUCAUAGAUGCAAAGAGUACCAUUAAUACUUGAACCUAAAAUACACGGAUAACAGCCACGUUUUUGGUCAAAAGGAUGUGGCCACUUCAUUUGAACUUUGUUCUCAAAUCUCUCACCAGAAAGAAAAUACAACUUCCAUUCAUAGUUUAGAAGGAGACUUGCUUCGUCAUACAAUGAAUGAUAUUUGAAAACAAUAUUUUUGUAAAACAUGUUCAUAAAAUAAGGGUUUUCAAAUAAAAGAGUCCAAGACUUGCCUAAACAAGUAAACCGAUUCAAAGAUUUUAAAGGUAGUUUUGAAAAAAUAGAAAAGACGAUAUCUUCAGGAACAUGGUUACUAACCUUUUGGUUUGUUGGAGCCAUAGGUUUCUCAAUAUGAGGCAGAUUACUUUGGAAAAAUCAGAUGCAAGAUUGAUGCGGUAAAAGAGUCUUAUUUAUUAAUUUUGUUAGAUAAUUUUUUUCCAGUUCAUUUGCUUUAUUAGAUUAUUUAACCUAACAAAUUUCAUCUAAGCAUUGCACCAAUUUCAUUCCUAUCCUCUUUUUUUUUUUUUUUUAAGGAAAUAUUUUCAUUUGAUGCUGCAUAUUUGUUCUAGAAACCAUGAGCAUAUCUUUAUCCUUAUUUAUUAAUUUUGUUAGGUCUAGAGUAAUUUAACCUAAUUUUCUACACUUAUUUAAUAUGUUUACAAACAGAAUAUCCUAAUUUCCAUGUAAAUUUUGUUAUAUAUAAAGCUUUAAACGUGUUUCUCUCAACAACAAAAAAAACCCUAACCCGUGUAAACAAUCCGCACACAACACAAAAAUCAUAUAUUUUGAUAUUUAGAGUUUUGCAAAUCGAAAGACGUGACCUUACAACUUAUUUUUUCCACCGUUACCAAUUAUGUAUUGCAUUUUAUUAUUCGUAUGUCAAUCCCUUUACAAUAAACUCGAGCAGAGCACGGGUCAAAAAUCUAGUUGCGUUUUAAUAUACUUAUUUCCUAGAAAAAUGUUAACCUAAUCUUUUCUACUUGUCAAAAAAAAACCUAAUCUUUUCUAUAAGCAACAAAAAUAUUCUGAAUUCUGUCAAUAGACAAUUUUACUGAAUUGAAAUAAUAUUCACAAAAUCAAGGAAAUAUUAACAAUUUUAUUUAUUUAAUUUUUUUUUAAACGAACAAUUUUUUUUAUUUUUAACCAGCGUCUAAUGUGUAUAUGUGUAUAAAUUAUGAACAAUAUUUUUUGUGAAAUUUUGAAUAAAAUUAUUUUAAUUUUCAUUCAAAUCACAGGAAUAGAUGAUAAAUAGUUUUCCUUCAAAAAAAAAAAGAUAAUAAAUAUUUUACACUUUCAUAUUAUAAUAAAGUAUAUUUCUCACUUGAUAAAACAAUGCAUUAUUAUAUGCAGGGUCGGGGUUCGAACCCCGGACAUCCCACUUAUUCACCUUAUAAGGUGAAUUCUAGUCACUAGACUACCUGACAAAAAAAAAUUAUACUUAUCUUUUUCGAUCAUAUCAACAAUAUCACAAAUACAAUAUCUUUCAAAAAAAAGAUAACAAAUAUAAUGUAUUUUUAUCUUUUUGAAUGACAUCAACAAAAUGACAUUUAAAUAUUCAAAUUUAUUUAAGGGUAUAAUUGAAAAGAGAAAAAAACUAAUCCAAAACAUCAUUUUUUUUUUCCGGUCAGGUAGCCUAGUGGCUAUAAUUCACCUUAUAAGAUGAAUAAGUGGGGUGUCCGAAGUUCGAACCCCGGCCCCUACAUAACUGAGCCAUGAUCACGGGACACAUCAUAUUUUUUUAUUUACAGUGGAGAUACAAUAUUUGUUUUUGAGAGAAUAUUUAUAUUAUUUUUUGACAAAAAGAUCGAUAAGUUCAUCGGUUCCUUAGAUAUCAAAAUGAAAAACCGAGAACCGAACCAAACAUGGUCGGUAUAGAUUGGUUCAGUUCGUUUUUUAUCCAAACCAGACAAUGUCAGAUACAUUUUUCGGUUUGUUUUGGUUUGGACUUUUGGCUUCGUCGGUUUUGUCUGAACCACUUACAUCCGUAAUUGCAUCAGAAUUUAAUGGACGAUAGGUAUUCAAAUGCAAUUUUGAAUGCGUAAUUUACAUUUUCCGAAUCUAGAGUUCGAGCUGGUUUUUGCUUGAGAGAUGAUGACGUUGGACAUUUUGUUAAACCAAUGGGGAAUAUUGUGAAUACCAAUUCUUAAAAAAAAUGAAGGUUAAUAAAAGCGAGACGAUAUUAUGAAAAUUCUGUAGGCUAGUAUACCAUUAUAUUAAAUUUUUAAGUUGUCUUGUUGCGACUUAAAAUGUUUUUGUUUUAAUUUCAAACUAUUUGUCUUUUUUUUUUUUUUUGGUACAAUCUGUUUGUCUUUUAUGUAACAUUUAUACUAAAUUUGUCUAUAAUAUUUAGCAUAAGUGUUAAACGCAAUAUUGAAUGCAUUAAAAUUACGUUACAAACUUCGUCUAGAUGAAAAACAACAAAUACAAGUCUUAUGCAGUAUUAUAAAAACAUAUUAGUCGGUGAACAUGAGGUGCAUAACCAUGUAUGUGCAUUACAAGUACUGGCUUCAAGUACGAAUACACAAUACAUGUCUAAAUACAUAACAUAUCCACCAGUACAUAUUAAUAAUAUAUAAAACGUCCACAACAUGAUUCAAAUAGCUUUCGUCUGCUUGCCCUUUCUGACAAGUCACCUGUAUAUCUGAAAAAUAAUAAAAGAAUUGGGAUGAGACAUAAUUAUUGGUUUAGUAAUUCAGUUUAGUUAGUUUUAGUUCUAUAUAAUUUGAUUAGUAGUUUGUUUAGAAACUUGCACUUGAAGUAACUAACUCAAGUUACUUGCAUGUGAAGUGAUAAGUUUGUUAGGAAUUUGUUUCAGGUUUUGUUACAUCACUUGAUGUAUAUAUACGUCAUUACUCUUGUAAUAAGAAUUCCAAUUCAUUCAAUAAAUUUUACAAGUCUUUUACUCAUCUCUCUUUCUCUUAAAACCAUAGAAACCCUAGAAUCUCAAUUCCAUCUUCUUCAAUUGAACACAGUUUUAAGUGUUGGUUUCAUUCAAUUUUCAUACAUUGUUUCAUCAAAUUGGUAUAGCAGAGCCUGGUUCGUUCAUGGGAGCGUCUAUCUACACUAUUGGUUUGAGUUGAGUUGAUAUCUGAAGAUGGAAGGAACAAUGUGAAUCAUUGGGAAAAGUGGUGGCUAGCGAAGGGAUUGUAAUUUGAAACCAUAUCUUAUUUAAUAUGAAAGUGGCGAGUUGGGGUUAACCUAUCUUCUUCCAACUUGUGGACCUUUAGACUCGCACACAUUUUCUGACAUUACAAUGGAGCUUUAACCAAUGGGGUAAGGUAUAGCUUGUGACAUUUAUGUGAGUAAAAUUGUAAUAUGAGGAUUUACUAGGCUAUAACCAAAAUAAAAUUCCUUUUCUUUUUAUGCUUAAAUAAAUUUUCUAAAAGUUUGCUAUUAAAUAACUAAAGUGUGCCUGUUUAAAUACGAGUAGAACAUAAUCAAAUCUACUUGUUUAGCUGUUUGAAUAGGUAGAACAUAAUUUAUGCGACAAGUUAAUUUCUCAUAGCAGCAAGAUAGAAAAACUAUGUAAUUACCUCGUAACUCCUCAAUCUUCUCAAGUACAAAGACAGCAAAUUGAACGAUGUUACGCCUUAAAGCAUGCCUUAAAACCUCAAAAACAGAAUGAUCAGACGGUUUAAGUUUUCGUGUCUAAUACCUCAACAAAUUGCAUCAACAAGUCAUUAGAUAAUGUUGCUAUCAUUUUGACAAAGCAAGUUGUAGAGGUCACCGGAUUAAUCAAGGAAAUUACGGUCGGGGAAGAGAUAAAAAUAAUCUUCAAGUACAUCAUCAUUGUAUCUUGAAUGAAGCUGCCAAGAGGUGGAGAUUUAGCAGAAAUUAUAAGUAGACGAACAAAUAAAAUUAACUUAAUAUAAUGUGAAACGAGAGAAGAAGAGGAAAGUGGAAUCAGAUCCAAUGAAUAAGUGAUAUUUGAAGUAAUGUGGAAGAAACAAACAAAGUGAAUCUUUGGAAACGGGUUAGUGCAAGGCCUAUUAUCUAUCUUGGUUUUGAAGUGGUAGCUGAUGAGAGUAAGAUGCAGCCGAAGAGAGGAUUCAUGUAACACGUUAUCAUCAAGCCCUCUAAUUUUUUUUUCUUUUUUUAAGAUGAUAUUAUCACAGAUGGUAGACAUUUUUAACCUAUCCAACUAAACUAGCAAAGAAUUUUAAAAACAUUAUCGGCUAAACACUCUCUAUAACAUUCAUUUUUUAUUGGAGGAAAUAUGUCUCAUCACUUUAUCUGAAUUUCAUUUCAAAAAUGUAGACCUACAUUGAUUUUAAAUUAACCAAAGAGUGAGUGUUUAAAAGAGAAUAUUGCUAGCACUACUCCUUCCACUAACAUGUUGAGAUUUGUGUGCAUGUCGAUUUAGGUACCAUCACAGAAAAUUCCUUUUGGACCGAACACGAGCAAAGAGUCAACUAGAGGUGAUAAGUCUUUUUUCUUUUUUUCUUUUUUUACUAAGAGGUGGCAAGUCUUGUAUGUUUGGAGAACUUUCUGAUCCGGUUGGACCUAAGAAGAUGGUGGGUCUAGGCAUGGCAAUGCCCUACUCCCAUGUACUUUACCGUUACCCUAUCCAUACUCAGCAGGGAUGAGAAAUCGAAUCUCAUCCCCGUCCCUGACGGGUUCGGGUAUCCCUAUCUCAUCCCCAACCCCACAGUGGAUAAUUUUUUAAAUAAAAUUUAAAGUAUUUUUUUGCCCCGAGUGCAAUGUUGUAAUGCAUUAUACAGUAAAGAGAUGAUGGUGAUCGAUAGCUAUAAUGAUGAAGAAGAAAAAGGUUGAGAGUGUGAGAUAUGGAAGAAGAAAAGAGAGAACUAUUGAUUUUCCACAUUCAGGACGAGUUUGGGUAUGGGUUCGGGGUGGAUACAUAUAUCCCUGUUUCUCGUCCCAUACCUGUGUUUUGAAAUCGGGGAAAACCCAAAUCCAUACCCAAACCCAAUCAAAGUGGGGAAAACCCGCCAAAUUGGGUUAGGUUUUGGUAGGCACCCGCGGGUAUGGGUUUUGUUGUCAUGUCUAGGUGGGUCGGAUGAGAUCCAUUGUGUGGAGGGAUCAAGCUUUGAUGUAUCCACCGCGAGUUUGAUUUUGUUGGGUCGUCCGUUGAUAGCCCUUCCCCACCAGAGUGAGUAACGGGUCGGCUGAGAUCCGUUGUAUGGAGGGAUCAAGCUUUGAUGUAUCCGCCGCGAGUUAAGGUUUUUUGGGUAAUCUGUUGAUAGUCCUUCUCCGCCAUAUGGGGUGGUGUGCCUGCAUACACUCUGAAGCCCAAGUCAGAGGGGGGAUGCAGUUAUAAGCUUUGAUCUUAUAUUUCUAAUUAUCCAAUUUUCUAAUGUACCAAUUUCUGAUGAUCGGAAAACAAAAAGUCACAGUUCUUGUAUAGUUAAUUAAACAACUCACUUUUACUUUUUAGAAGAAAACUAGCAUUUAACUAAUACAUCAUGUUGCUUUUUUUUUUUCAAAUACAAAGACUAUAACAUCAACAACAAAAACAACCCUUUUGUUGAUGAUUUCAUUGACCCUCUUUGCAAGUUGAACCUAAAAGAAACCUGAGUUUGUCAAAAUCAAGCCAGUUCUAAAUCCCAACGCAGAAAAUAGAAGAUUCAACAAUGUUUCUGCAACACAACUGAGAAAACUAGAAGCUCCUUCGACAAAUGGUAGACAGACUCCUUACUAGAAGCUCCUUCGACACCUGGUAGACAGACCCCUUUACAGCUUCAGUUCUUCUGUUGUUUUAAGAAACUUUCCCAUAAAGAGUUUUCUUUCGAAAUGGGAUUGAUGCUAAAAAAUAGCUCAUAAGCACUUCUUGUCAUGACUCACCUGCUCAUCACAACAACACUUUGAAAUUUGUCUCUGCAGAAUCCUCAAAACAUUGGAACCAGACAAUGAGAUAACAGCUUUAAGCAGAAUAUGGAAGAUUUUUCAGAGAAAUCUACUAGACCAUUAGAGAGAUACCUCAAGAACCAGACAAUGGGAUUGGUUUAUUCAGAAUCCUCAAACAUUGGAAUAAAACAAAUGUUGUAAUAGCAAAAUAUGGAAGAUUUUUCAGAGAAAUCAAGGGUCGUCAAGGAAAAAGUGCUGUCAAAAGUUGUGUAAAACAAAACCAGCUGCUACUGCAUGCUGCUUUCUGAUUAUUUGAGGUGCGACUGAGUUAGAGAAAAGAGAGUGAGUAAACAUAGGUUUCUAGUUCUACGGCUUUAUAUAGUGGCAGUAUAUCAUUCCAAUGAAGAAUUAUGCUCCAACACAUUGCAAUGAAGUUCCUAUAAUUUCCAAACAAAAAUUUGCUAGACUUGCCAAACCAUCUAAAAAAAUCCCUCAUAGAGUAGGAACAAACAGUACUAUAACCUAGAAAGGUUAUGUAAUAUGUUAAUUAAAGAUGUAGGAAACACUAAAGCAUAAGAUAUGCCAAGCAAGAAAAUUCCAAAAUACAAAAGCAAAAUUUGACCCACCACACCCAUACAAGAAAAUUUAUUUCAAUGAUAGAAACAAGGAGAUAGCAGCAACUUGUAAGAAUUAAGAUUAGAACUUGUUCAACAAUCAAAAAAUUUAAUCCACAUUCCAAAUUAGAAGUUAGAACAGUAGCAAGGAUUUUGGUCCAUGUGUAAAAAAAUGCAUGCAGGGAAUAUAAGCAAUCCAAUUAAUGUUUCAUUUUUAUGUGACAGUCCAUCAUUUGGACAACCAAGACAAAUCAUUAAAGGUGCUGAAAAGAAUGUACACAUAGAAUUUACUACUAAUAUUUUUCCAAGCAUAAAGGAUCUCCAAGUAUGAAGGAAUUCUUGUAUGAAAUCAAGACCUUGUCCAGCAGCAAGGAAAUAUUACAGUUUUUACAUUUCUUCAAUGCAUUGCCUCUUCUGGGAAAACUGAGAAAGUUUGGGUUUUGUUUACAAUAUAGAUUCACGGAGUAAGAUGAACAUGCACUCUUUCUGCUAAUGACUAAGUUGAUAUAAAGUAAUACUUCGACACCAUAUUUUAAACUCAACAAAGGGGUUCCAUUCAAAUGUAUACGAGGUAUGUUACCUGUUCAGCGCGAUGAGAUAAAGAUACAGAGGAGGAGCGGAAGCCGGCAAAGCAGCAGAAGCAGGCACAGCAGAAGUGGAGGCAGGCGCGGAGAAUUGCGAACGAUAACUGGUGUUCUUCAUGCCCUUUUCAGAUUCUUCGACCGACUUAGUAACCACCAAUCACAAACUCUUCUUAUUAGGAUAUGUAAAUGAACCUCGACAAUGAUAAAUUUAAGAUACACAAGACACGAUAUAACCAAUACAAAGAGACAAAUAACAAGCCAUUGUUAGAUAUUUAAAAUCAUACUCCCUCCGUCCCAUAAUAACUGAGUCAUUUGCAAAAAAAUAUUGUCCCAGAAAAAUUGACCCAUUUCACUUUUCAAUACAAUAUUAAUUACUUUUUUCCAAUUAUAACACUAAUUAAUACUACUUUCACCACUCCCAAUUCAAUAUAUUCUACUUUGCAUUUAUGAUAAAAAAGAAUGCACCAAUAGUUGAUAAGGACACUCAAAACCAUUUUUCUCUCUCUUUCACUUAUACACUUUUUCUUAAUAAGUGUGAAAUGAGUCAAGGGCUCAGUUAAAAUGGGACGGAGGGAGUAUGUAAUAGAGGUAAACAUUUUUCUUUAUACCAUCUAAUUAAGGUCCUCAUCCUCACAACCUUAUAUACACAAUGAUCCUUCAGCAACCUUGCCUAGGACACCCGUAGAACUUUUAUUCUUCUUAAUCUUCCUUAAACUACUUCAUUUCCUAAAUGAAACAUGUCACAAAACCAAAAGUUUGCUACAGCUUGCUGCCAAAGUAGAUCCAUUGAUAUAAUUAAUUAUCGUCCAACAAGAUUGUUACAACUAUUUUGAAUUUCUACAAUCACAUACUAGAUUGUGAAUUUAAUCAAAAGACAUGAAUAAAACCCUUUGCCAAUAGGAUUUGAGGACCCUAAAUUGUUCCAAUUUCAAACGUGGGAGGGAUAUAUGUACUAAAUGUCAAGCUAUGGCCAAUGUGGCUCAAAAACAGUUAGAUAAAAAAAUAUUUGAACACAAGGAGAUUAAAACAGGAAAAGGAUAAAAUAUGGUGCGAUGCAAGGUCUAGCCUUUUUCAAAGUAUCAAUGGUCGUUCUUAACUAGAAAAGCAGAAAAAAUGGUGCAGUGCUUACAGUUACAGCCUCGACGUUACAAAUUAAUCGGACAAAAUUGAAUUAUAUGAAUAUUAAAUCUAUGAUCAGGUAUCAAAGUAUCAAACCUUGUGGGAGAGAUUACACAAGCUCCAGUCUUACCAGAACCAGUUUGGGAAACUAAUCACUACACAUAUAGAUCAAGCCGACUAAAGGUAAGGAUGUAUCUUAUAGUAUCUAUAAGAACUUGACUUGAAAUGGAACAGUUGCAGUAACUCUUAUGAUCAUGAGAAAAUGAAAAUUGUGCAUUUCAACCAAAGCUACCAUAUCAUCGUCACAUAGCUCCGAACACAUCAAAAGUAAAAUAGAUAACAGCUAACAAGUAUAGUUGCAAAGUAACCACAUUAAACCAAGCAUACUUUCAAGCAACCUAAAUUGAAAUUAAAGCAUCAUCUGAAACUCUGUAAAACUUUUCAAAAGACCUUAUAGAAGCGGUCAUUUUAUUACUCAAAGAACAUGAUCAAACCUUUGUUUAAGUCAUCAAAUUGAGAUGAUUACAACAUGAACCAAAUCUAUCUAUCUGCUCUAAGAAAAGUAUUAUGCUAAUUAAAAUCGUGGAGUUUUACUCUUAUGCUUAAGCUUUAGGGUUUGAGGUCUGAACAUCAGAUAGACCAGUCAAAACAUCCUUAACAAACUUAAUCAAAGAACAGAGACCCCCUAAGAAAUUAUGAUCAAUAGCACCUUUAGCAUCAACCACAUGAGCAAAAUCAACAAGCUUAACAACAGCACUUGCACUCUUCUUCUCAUCCUCCUUUUCAUCUUUCUCAUAAACCACAAGAACAGAACAUGAAUAAAAAUGAAAAAUAGUUUGAACUUCAAACCAUUUCUUAAGCUCCAAUAAUUCCUCCAAAAUAGGAACAAACACCCUAGACCCAAAAACACAAUCAGGUUCAUCAACAUUACCGUCUGAAGAAACAAAUUUCCUCAAAACCAACAUCACAUCAUCAACAGAUAGAUCCAUAAGAAACUUUUUAUGAGGCUGCCAUAAUUGAUUAGUGGGACCCACUGACCUCAAACCGGAGAUUCUAAACCCUAAUUUGAUACUAGAAGAUUCUCGAUCUUUCUGGAGGCAUUUCCGGAUGUAAUCUUCAGAGGACUGUGGGUGCCAUGUUCGUGAACCGAUCUUGAUGUCGACGACGGCAGGGUUGGUGUAAUUGCUGACAAUGUCUUCUAAGACGAGGUGGGGGUGUAGACCAGAUCCGUCGGAGGCAUCGACGGUUUGAGUGCCGUGAAAAGAAGGGAAGAAUUUGAGAAUGUUGGUGGGAAUGCGUGGAUCGGAAUAGAGGGAUGUGUAGAAAGCAAGUUCAUUGGAACCUCGUUCAUCGUCUUGAAGAGGUUUGUAGAACUUUCCAGAAUCGUCUAUUAGAGGACCUAGGAUUCCGUUUUUUGCUUGGUGACCUGCAACUUGGUGCUCUGGGAUUUUCAGCUUCACCAUUUUGUUACUGAAGCUGUAUCCAUUGAACACAAAUAACAACAAAAAUUGUCAAAAAUAUCCUUACCACUAUCAUCAAGUUCUUAGUCUGCAGCAUGCAUGCAUACGUAGAAAUGAAAAUCAAUGAAUAAACGAUCACCCAAGUCCAUAAACAAUAACACUUUUUUCCAAUUUAGUCCCUAAAUUGUAUAAAUCCAUCCAAUAAGUAGUCCUUAAAGUGUAGAAGAAUUUGUCAAUUAGUCCCUGGCAACCUAUAAAGCACCGACAAAGGCACAAACAUUGGACCCGAUACGGACACUGACACUCUGACACAGAUAAUAAUUUGAGAAAUGACAUAAUUCAGUGUAACUAUAGGUGUCGGUAUCAUGUCUGUGUCGGAAACGGACGUGUGUCUGACACUGAGACACACAUAAUCAGGGGAGUGUCCGUGCUUUAAAGCUAACAACUUAAAAAAGAGACUAAAUUGACAGAUUUUAUAUAGCAUUACCUAUCAUAUUUAAUACUAAAUUGAAUAAAGGGUGAUAGUUUAGAAACUAAAUUGAUGGUUUAGUCAAAAACCAAUAGUAUCUUCGAUAUAAUCGAAAGAAUAAAAGGCUAUCUAAGAAGCAUAUGCUUACAUUUCAGUUUCAUGCAUAGUGUGACGCUCAAAACUUUAAAACAUGACUCAAUGAAAUUCAAAUCGGCAAUGCACAAACCAGAUACACAUAACAACAAAAUCCCCAUCGGCAAUGCACAGAUUACUUACAAUGUUCAGAUUUCCCAAUUUUGAAGAAAUCCAAAAAAAAUCCCAAAAUAAAAAAAAUAAGAGAGUUAUUGAUUUGUGUUUUUGAAUUACCUUGAUGUUCGGUGAUUAGCAGAUUGAGGCGAAUCAGGAGGGGUUGGUUCAUGGGUGGAGGAGGGUUGAAGACGAGACAGAAACAACGAUGAUGUGAUUAUGAUCACAAUAUCACAUGAUUCUGUUGCAGGCAGGGGUUUUUGAAGUCCGCAUGGUGUGUGUGUGUAUCAUAUGAUUCUGUUUCAAAAGGGGAUUUUUGACAAACCACAAAAUAAUUAUCCUCGUUCUCUUUGUCUCCGCGAGCUUAGUUCAGGUGAGAACAAAUGCAUAAUAUAUGCAGCGUCUGAGGUUCGAACCUCUGAACAUCCCACUUCUCCCUGUUAAAUAUGUGUGAGCUCCAACCACACUAAGCUACAUCAAAAAAAAAAUUAUGUUUUAAAAAAUUCUUUUUUCCAAAGAAAAAUUAAAUACAAAGUGCAUUCAAUUUGCUCUCUUUUUCAUUUUCUCAAUGAAAAUUGUUUUUACAUCUUCUUAUAAAAUUUAUUUCAAAGAUAACAAACUAUGUUCCAAACUAGUACUUUAUUUUAAUAUUCUUAAUAAUGUGAUUUUUUUUUUUUUUAUAAUAUGAGACGGUGGAGUAUAUUAGUUCAGAUCAAAUUUAGUUAGUCUGACCGUAAAGAAUACUUACAUUUUCCUUAAAGUUAUAUAUUUUGUCAACUAUACCCUUGAGUUAAUUACUAAUCCAUUUUGUAUAAAUAAAGUGGUUACUUUUUAUUAUGUGUCACAAGGGAUUUUGAUGAGGCUGUCUAAAGUGAUUUACUAAUGAAUUGAAAUGCUUAUUUAUAGAUAAAUUUAAUAAUAUACAUAGAUUAGGGUCGACGUAAUAAUCUUCAAAAACACGUGAGAUUUAAAGUAAAUUUUGAUAUAUAAGGUCUAUUUUAUCUGCACAGCGAGGUCUUUUUGCUUAUAAAAUUUAAUGAAAAAUAAUUUUUUAUUGAUAGGUCUAAAGUGAGGGCUUUAGUUGCCUUAUCCUUGAGUCGGACUGUACAGACUCCCUAAAAAAUAUACGUUAUUCUCAAAGUAAAAUCAGUAGUAAACAUAUAUUUUUUCAGAGAUUUAUUGAUAGGAACAAUAUUAACAAACAAACUCAUCUUUGCUAAGUGGAAAAAGUUAAAUAAACAACAUGUAUUUUUACUACAAAAUGUACGAAAAAUUAGCCAGCCAAAAAAUAAACACCUAAGCUUUAGCCAGUGUCAAUGGAGAGUAUGCCAUCUGUGUGCUUCAUAUCUUUAUAGCCUCAAGUUAAAAGUUAAAAGAUGAAGCUUUAUUGCUGUGAGGAUAAAUCAUGAAAUCAUCUGUGUGCUUUCCCUCUGUGAUAAGAAUCAGAAAUCAAAUCAUGAAAGCAAAUUUGAGCUGCCUCAAGUUUAAAGAACACAAGAAACACAUGUGUGAUCCAUAUUCAUACUGGUAUAGCAAGAAUAAUGAGUGACUAUCAAGUUGAUUAUAUAAAAACUAAGUCUGUGACUUCAAAAGGAUGUAGCAUUUGAUUUUAUUUUUUUUAAUUAAUUUCUUCUUCAAGGAUGAAUUAAAUAAAGGAUGGGCUGCUAAUGGGGGAAACCACACAUAUCAAACAAGAAGAGGCAUGGUUAUAAAAAUUGUCCUAAAACCAAUCAUAUAGCUGAAAUCAAAAUCCAUUCAUUACAAUUUUAAGUAUUCAUUCAUGUAAGAUUCACUAAUAGAGCAGUUAGUGCAUGUUAAGGGUGAAGGGAAGAUAAAAUGUGUUCAUUGUAACAAAGAGAAGAUAAAAACUAGCUAAGGUGAUAUGCAUUUUCGGAAAUAAUGAAAAUAGGUCUUUUAACGGUCUCUUUUUUGUUUAAUGACAAGUAACAUCAACACAACCAAGCCCGUCUAGCUCAGUUGGUAGAGCGCAAGGCUCUUAACCUUGUGGUCGUGGGUUCGAGCCCCACGGUGGGCGAUUGUUUGUUUUUUUGGGCUUAAGCCCCAUGUAAUCACAAAGAUAACCAACUAAAACUAACACAAAUUUAAGAAAUAUAAAUAAAAAAUAAUUUUACUACUUGUAAAACUAACAUUGCUCUGAAUUACAUCAAAAACAUCUAAAAAAACUGUUUGGUUGGUUUACAAAAUGUCUUCCUUAGUAAUCACCGGCUCCGUAACAUUGUUUUUCUUUUGGAAAAAAUCCAUAAAAUAAUUCUUAGCAACCAUACUCACACUUGAAUUCUCAGUUACCUUAUUACCAUGAUCAUCUUCAAGAGAGGUAAUUCGGUUUACUUUCUUUGGCAUGAAAAAAUUUAUUAUUUGGAUCAUCAUCUUUGUAGUAGUGUGUCUUUGCACUUUGAUGCCAGUAUGAAUCAUCUUGCACAAGCAAUUGAGUCAUUCACUUUCACAAGGACAUGUUAGUAUAUUGAUUGCCAUAUAUGGACCCAUUUUCAACAUUUGGAAAAAUACUACUAGCUCAAGCUUUUUUUGAAGGAUACUAGCUCAAGUUAGAGGAUAAAAUGACAUUUAUCUUUUUCUUUAAAAAAAAAAAGGGAUGCAUCAUCUUUUUUUGUAAGUGCAAAAUUUUUACUUCCUCCAUUUCACAAUAAGUAUCAAUUUAAUAAAGAAAGUCAUUAUUUAAUUAUAAUUUUUUUUUAUUGUACCUCUAAAUCUCUAAUCAGUAAUUUUAUUAUUUUUCCUUAUGCGCAUGUAAAAAUCUUUAAGAAAUAGUCAUCUUGAAAUAGAACUAUUAAACCUCUAGCAAUAACUAUUCUAGUAACAAACAACCAAAAAUCUACAUCAAUACCAUGAAGUAACUAUGAAAUAAAACAAAAUAGGGAAAUAUAAAAACUGAAUCACUUCAGCCAAGCACCGAAAACCUGCAAAAUCAGAAGCAUCAAACUGUAAACUGAAACAGCAGUAGUAAAUGACAAUAAGGAAAAUGGAUGAUCUCAAUUUUUUUUCAAUUUCAAUCUUUAAAUGAUUUUUCUCCUUUCUUUUAAAAUUUUAAUGUUAUCCUCCAUUUAUAUUUCAAUGGUGUAGAUUUUCACAUUUUUUUCCAUGGUUUUAAAAAAAAUAAAUAAAUACAUUUGAAAGGAUCUUAAUCCGACAAUGACACAUAGCUUUUUGCAUCACAUUAUCAUUUUAUUUUAUUUAUCUUGCAUUUUUUUAAUCGUUCAAUUAUUUCAUGUUGAUGAUUGUUAUGUACUAAUUCAAACUUACUCUGAAAAAUAUAUUUUUUUUUUAGCUAAAGUGGUAUUUUCUUCAAAGAUAUUGUUAUUGCUUUUUGUCCAAUCAAAAUGUACAUUCAAUUCAACGAGUCGAAACUACAUUUUGAACAAAACGUUCGGAUUAUUAAGUGACCAUCAAAUACUUUUUUGUUAAUUAGGGAUUGUUUUGGGAAAGAGUUGAAAUGAGUUUUGUUAUUUGAAUUUGCUUGAGACUUUUAAUAGGGAGAGACGACACAUCUCCAUCAAACAUUAUAAAACAUUAGAUAGAUAUGUGGAUCAAUCUCUUAUAUUCAACUUUGAAUUCAUUAAUAUAUGAGAUUUAACUAAUCACAUUUGAAUUCAAUAAUCUCUCUCAAAUGUGACUCUCCAACAUAAUAUACUUGUACUACCGUUUACACAAAAAGAACACCGACUCUCGCUAAUCAAGACUCUAAUAACAUUUGUUGUGGAGUUUGAGAGAAUACCAGAAGGCGACAACAAACCAAUGAUUCAAGACUAUAAGAGAGAUGCAACAUCUCCACCUAAAAUCUUAAAUAUUAUAUCUAUGAAUUACAUCUCUUAUUAUUUACAUUGAGUUUAUUCAUCAUUGAUGUAAAACUUAAUUAUCCACACUUAAACCUCAAUAUAUAUAUCUUACUUUUUAUUUUUAUAACUUAAAAUCAUUUAAAAAAUAUACAUAAAAAAUAAAAUACACCCUAACAUAAAAAUUUCGAAAUAAAAUACCAUUUCUUUUUGUAUACAAGCACUUAUAUAUAACUCAGAUUAUCUGAAUGAGAUUAACAAGGAUGCACAUGUUAUGUCACCUGCUAGCUAGUAAAAUCAUUCUUAAAUCACAUGUAGACUUGCCCACGUAAAUUCUUAUCGUACGGAAAAUUAUGUCUAAGCCUAAUAUAAUGAAUAAACUCUCAUUUUAAUCUUUAAGUCUAGAGAUACUUUUGAAAUUUGAAUAAAUUCAGAAACUAUAAAGAAUUUAUGAUAUCGUCUCAAUCAUUUAGUGAUGAAAAUGAUUGUUUACUCCUAAUAUAAUAGAGACCAAUGGUCUCAGCUAGUUGUUCAAUUCUUGCAGAGCUGAGCUUGACUACACUACAAAACCUUCAUAAAGAGGCUUGAAUGUGACAUGAUAUAUAUGAAAACAACCAAGAGUACAAUUUUUAGCUGUUUUCACUUCAGUUUCUAUGAAAUAUUCAGAUCAAGAUCUCAGUUCUCAUAUUAAAAUUAUUAUAUAGUUUACAAAACAAACACAUAAAAUUAAGAAACAGAUCUGUCAAUGCUUCAAGAUUGUCUACUAGUUUGGUGUAUUUGUAUUCUCUUAAUAUUAUUAUUUCAUUAUUAUAUUGACAAUAGUCGGUUUUGGAACAAUUUUAGAUUGAAGACAAAUGAUUAAGUCCUUUUUUUAAGGGUCCUACCCUUCAAAUAAUGGUGCUCUUUUUUGGUAAAGCUAUGAUAUAAUCAAGAAUCUUGCACACUUUCUUAAAUUAAUCUUGCUCUCCAGCAUAAUAAUUUUGGCACUAGGAUUUGAGAUUUGAUUUUCAUUUUGCCACUUAGUGCAUGUCCCUAGGCAUCACUUUUAAUAUCUUUUGUUAUUAUUCAAAUAAAUAAGUAUACUAUGACUUGUGAUCUUACUUAUAUGGUGAAUAGAGCAUAUUUUCACACCUUCCAGAGCAUGUAUAGGUCAGAAUUUGAUUCAGGAAAACCUAGACCCAUAUGAAAUGAAUUUGACUCUGUGAUAUUAAUCAGUGUAUACUGUAUACCAUGACCAUAUGUUGAUGGUCUGACGGAUUCAGAGGUCUAUAGUAUACUAUAAAUAUUUUGACUAAAAUAAAAAGAACACCGUUAUAUCGUUAUAUCAGACACAGUAUGAAAUAAGCUGAUUUUUUUUUUGGCUAAUAUAUUUACCCCAUGUAAUAUUAAUGAUUUUUGGUUUACCUUCUUGUAAAAAAAUUUGUUUAAAUUCCAAUCUUGUAAUUUGAAGAUUUUUUAUUUUGAACCUUUAUGAAUUUUGACAGUACAAAAUCAAUGAUAUGGCAAGGGGUAACCUGAAAUAUCGAUGAUAUGGCAGGGGGCAAACUGAAAUUUUCUCAAAUUACAAAGGACAAAAGUACCUUAAAUUUUAUAAUUGAUGCCAUGAAGGUCUAAAAUAAAUAAAUAAAUAAAUUACAGGGUAAACUUUUUUACAGGGUAAACAUAUAUUAACUUUUUUUUAUGCAAGAAUGGAGAAAAGAAAACCAAAACUUCAUUAUUUAUACAAUGUUGAAUGUCCGAAUGUGUGUCAAAAAAUAUGUUCUAUGCAAUAAACAUCCCUAACAAAAAUAACAUCCGACGUCUAGUAGCUGGUUCGGUUCGAAGUUUUCUCCAAGAUAGCUGAAGUAUGAGGGUGAGUACUAUCAAAUAAAGCCCAAUGAUUAGAGGCAUCAAGGUGCAUCACCCUCAAUUUAUUCUCAAAUUUUAAAUAUGUAGGAUGGUGUGGUUGCUCUGUUGAGCCAUGUCAUGGAAUCGAGAACUCCAAAUAUAUCAUUUUUAAUUUGGUAAGAAGAACUACCCAUGCUAGAUGAAUCGGAAGUUGGGUUACGGUGUCCAAUUGCACGCUAACCUAAACACCUGGUGUUCGUCAAAUAAGACAGUAUAGGACGGUGGUCAUGGAAGUCGAAAUCCGCUAAAGAGUAUAUAACAGCUUACCUUCUAAAUCAACUAGUUCAAAAAAUGGAUGGCGUUAAAGCAACCUAUAACCGGCUCCAUUGAACAUUUCAAAAAAUUGGUAGUAGCUUCGUUUUUUUCUUCUUUCUUUUAAUGGAAAUGGGUACUUAACUCCCUUGUAUGAUUUCAUUCAGCUUUUUUUUUUUGAACAAGUGAUUUCAUUCAGCUUUAAAUUUAAGAUACCAAGGGUCUAGAUUCGAAAUUGAGUUUCUAGCUCGUCAUUCUUGAGUAAUAUUUACUUGUGUAAUUUUUAAAAGUCAUAAUGAAUUAAUCUAGCAAGUAUAUUCUCUGAUUAUCUGAGGGCACGUGAGAGGUAAAUAAUGCAUGCAAUUCCACCCAAGAGAAGGUAGAUCCAAGAAACUAAUAAGGAAGGUACAUAGCAAUUCAGCUGAAAUCACGGUUCUUGUUAUUUUCAAGCUAGCUAAGUUUGGUUUGUCCAUACUCUAGUUGUCUAUAUUGCAAAAUAUUUACCUAAAGACCAUACCGAAUGUUAAUGAUACAAAUACAAAAUAGAGAAAGAGAGAAUAGGAACAAUAAUGUAAGUUAGGGUUUUAUAAAAUAUUAAUAUCUUGAUGUUAAAAACGGUUACAAGAUAAUACUAUGUACUUCCUCCGUCCCUAAUUAUAAGAUCCUUUUGAGAAUUUUUUUUGUCCCUUUUUAUAAGACCCCUUUGUUAUUUUCAACUACAUUAAUUAUUUCUUUACAUACAUACCCUUAUUUAUUAUACAUCUUUUUCUUCAAUCAACAAUAAAUAACAUGUUGAAAACAUAAACUAACAUUCUUUCUUAAACGAUAAAAUUGUAAAAACAAUAGUGAUUACAAACAACUUUAAUACAAAUAUUCACUAUCUUAAUUCCCGUAAUUUUGACAAAAGGGUCUUAUAUAUAGGGACGGAUGGAGUAAUAAAAUUUAAUAAACUCCAACUUACUAAUAUAGAGGCUCGAUUGAUUAAGCCUAAUACUUUAUUAUCUAACAGUAAUUAUCAGAAUAUAACAUAUCAAUUUAUGACCUUUAUUUCCAAGAUUAGAUCAUCAUCUUAGCUAAAUCGAGAGAUCAGCAUCAUCACUAAUAAAAGUUACAACAUCAGGAGAAACAAAUGAAGUAGAAAAAAAAUUACUAUUAAUAGAAAAAAAAAUUGAUACAUUAUGGAACUUCCACCAUCCCAAAUUUGUGUAUUGUUUACUCAUGCACUUCAUCAUAACCUUCCACUAAGGCAUAAUAGCACCUUUUUUUUGGGGUACAUAAAGCAUAAUAACACUUUAACCCAUAACAUAUUAGUAACAUAUAUAUCAAUUAUCUAUUUUUAUGAAUGUAUCACUUUUUGCCCCCUCGAAAAUGCAAAUUCUUACUAAAUUAUUUAGCAUUAAUUUGGUUGAUUACAAACACAUACAUCAUUUGGUCACUAUUAUAAGUAAAAUUUUGUAUUUUAGAUUCAUUCAUUUGAUGAUAUAUAUGUUAUUUAUUAUAGACCACAUACAUUAUUUAAUAAAUGAAUCUAAAAUACAAAAUUUUACUUAUAAUAGUGACCGGAUGGUACAGAUAUCCAAUGUGAGCCCUCAUAUCAUUGAGUAUGUGGCAUGCAUUCAACUAUUCAUGCUUUGGCCUUAUAAAGUAGCCAACACCUUAACUUUUCUUUUAUCUUUCUUGCAAACUCAAGCAAUAUAUAAUCAUUUUUUACCCGAAAAUAGAUGUAUGGAACAAUAUUAUAUAAUUGUACCUUCCAAUAAAAGAUAACUUUUUGACACAAAAAAUGAGUGUACAAAUUUAUACACAUCACCUUUACACUUCAUUAAUUUACGAUAAACUUACGUAUGCGAUACCAUACGUUUGACACUUUUUUUCAUAAUCAUUUUUUGUUUUUCUUUUUCAAAUUUUCAUUCUUUAUGUUACAUUUUAUUUGGACCGUUAACCUAUAAGUUUUUUUUUUUAAGGACGUUAACCUAUAAGUUAUAUCACUCGUUGUCUGUCAUUUAUAUUUUACGAUUAUAUGUAUCACAUAUUUAGCUCCACAACAAUAUUCAAUGUUUUUUUUAUCAAGUGUUCACACAAAAGAUAAACGACGACUCGUUAUUACGAGUUCAUGAAUUUGAACCUUGUUGUUUAUUGAAGAUAUUUUUGUGUAAAAAUUAAGUUCAAGAAUUCUUGGAUUUAAAAUUUAGAUUUAAAGAAGCUAAAUAAUUAAAUUGAGGAAAUUUCUUAUUCAUUAGAUUGAAUAUACUGAUUUGAUCUACUUUUUAAACAUUGAUUUGAAGUAGAAUUUCCCCACAAAAAGUAGGCCUACAAGACCAAAUGGAAUACAGUAGGUUAUCAUGUUCCCACUUCAAUUUGUCACCCCACUACAUUCGUACCUCUUGAGUGCCCCAUACCCUGAUAAUACACCUUACAACCAUAUCCCAAAGUAAAUAAAUUAAUAAAAAUCUUUCAACCUCAAAAAUAAAUAAAAGGGUCACGUUAACCCAGAUCAUCGAUUAAGGAAGCUAAAAAAAUGAAGUUUUAAAUUGAAAAUGUUAUUUUUUAAAUUUUUUUUCUUAAGAAGUUAAAUUAGCUCAUCCAAAUUGACACCAAAGAGAAUUGAAUCUGAGACUUUGAGAAGGAGCACACUUGCAUGUCCCAACCAUAUCAGUAAGCCAACUCAAGUGGAUUUACUUUUUAAACUUUUUAAGAGUUAACCGAACAACAUUUGAUGUAAUUACUAUUAUAUUUAAUUCCUUAAGCAGUGCACACUCGUUAACAUUUCUCUAAAUAAAACUCGCAUAAGGUAGUAACUUUUUUUACUUAUAUAUAGUACUACUCACUCCCUAUCACAAGCCACCACUAUCUCAACCAUGAAAAUCCCAAUUUUUCUAACACCUUUCCUUCUCUGCCUCUUCAUCUCCCUAGUCCAAGCACAAACCCCAAAAUGUGACAUCCAAGAUGAUGGCUCAACACUCAAAGUGUUCCAUAUCUUCAGCCAAUGUUCUCCAUUCAAACCAUCAAAACCAAUGUCAUGGGAAGAAAGUGUCCUAAACCUACAAGCUAAAGACCAAGCUAGAAUGCAAUACUUCUCCAGCUUAGUUGCUAGGAAAUCAGUUGUACCAAUUGCAUCAGCAAGACAAAUAAUUCAAAGUCCAACAUACAUUGUUAAGGCUAAGUUUGGUACUCCACCUCAAACUUUGCUUUUGGCUUUGGAUACUAGUAGUGAUGCUGCUUGGAUUCCUUGUUCCGGUUGUGUUGGUUGUUCAACAUCAAAACCUUUUGCUCCUAUUAAGUCCACAAGUUUUAGGAAUGUUAGCUGUGGUUCUCCUCAUUGCAAACAGGUUAGUAAUCCUCGUAAACACAACAUUCAUGAACCUAGAAAUGUUUGGAUUUCAUUGUUUUGAUUAUAUAAUAUGAUAUUGAUUGUGACUAGAUAUAUGUGUGUCUAUAUAUAAUAUGUGUGUCUCAUUAUUUAGAAGAGUAUAUUUAAUUUGUCCUUCUAAUAAAGUGUAUAUAUACUAAUAUAUUUAGUGAUUUCUUUUAACUUAAUUUGAUCUGAAGUGUAUAAUGUUGACAAUCUUAAAACUUAUUGGAAUUUAAGAGUGAAAUUAUUAACUUAAGCAUAUGCUAUUGGUAAAAUUAGUUUAAGACUAUUAGUUUUUUUCUCUGGUUUCAAUAUUAUUUGUUUCUUUUUACUCAAAAAAAAUGAAUUAUUUGUUUCUUUAUCUCAUGACACAAAACUACAUAAUACUAUAUCUCACCACCAAAAUGAGUCACCAAAGACAUAAUACUGUAUCUCCAAGAGCUCUUGAACAAUGAAAUCCUUAAUAAUGUGUAUAUCAAAUCAACAUACAUUUGAUAAAUGAACCAAAUUUGGUUGUUGUGUAAUGUGUUGACGAUUGAUGAAUCAAAAUCAAAACAAUAUACAUUUGAUAAAAUACAUACUCUUGAUAAAAUAUAAAUAAAAAGAUAGUUUUUUUUUUUUUUUUAAGGAAAAUAAAAAGAUAGUUGAAUGUGACACAUACGUCAAUUUUUCAACUCUAGUAGUUUUUGCUUACAUUUCAUUCAAUAGUAGUUUAAGUUAAAAUUAUUGUUAGAAAAUUUAAACCUAAUUGGCUAAUUUUGGUGAAGACUAUGGUAAGUUCACAUUGAGUUAAAACCAACCAUAGAAUCAUAUUGUUCAUACGUUAUUCAAUAUCUAAUUUUUUUAUUUAAUGUGUUACUUCUAACUCAACAAAUCAAACUAUGCAUGCACUAUGAUAAUAAGUUAUCCGACAUUUUUUAAAAUAGUUGAUUCUCUCACAUAUAUAAUUUAUCUGACACUUUUAAAAACAGCACAUUCUUACAUCUAUCUAUAGCAUAAAAACAAAUUAACCGACACUUUUAAAAACCAUGAAAACAAAUUAACCGACACUUUUAAAAAUAGCUGAUUCUUAUAUCUAUAGGAUGAAAACAAAUUUACCGACACUUUUUUGCAAAAAAAAUAAAAAAAUAACUUUUUUUAAUAAGCAAAAAGAAUAACCAACAUUCUUCAUUUAUAAUAAAAUAAACAUUUACAAAUUUUUCACUGUAGUAUUAUAGUAUAUUCGAAUCAUAAAACCUUAUUCUAUGGUCACUGUACUUACCUUUCCUUAAGGCAAAAAAGAUCACGAGAUUUCCCAAAAAAACCAAAAGCUAUUUAUUACUUUUCUAUUUUUCCACAAAAAGUACAAAACAUAAACGGUGCUUAAGAUCUCAAACAUGUGAUAUUUUUCAGGUACCCAACCCCACUUGCGGUGGAAGCGCGUGUGCAUUCAACUUCACUUAUGGUAGUUCUUCCAUUGCAGCUAGUGUGGUCCAAGACACACUUACCCUAGCAACUGACCCAAUUCCAGGGUACACUUUUGGCUGUGUUAACAAAACAACAGGAAGUUCAGCACCACAACAAGGGCUAUUGGGCUUGGGCCGAGGCCCAUUGUCGCUCUUGUCCCAAAGCCAAAAUCUCUACAAGUCCACAUUCUCUUACUGUUUGCCUAGCUUUAAGUCGAUUAACUUUAGUGGGUCGUUGAGACUUGGGCCAGUGUAUCAGCCUAAGAGGAUCAAGUAUACCCCACUUCUCAGAAACCCUAGAAGAUCGUCACUCUAUUAUGUUAACUUGGUUGCUAUUAAAGUUGGUCGAAAAAUCGUCGAUAUCCCUCCUGCAGCGCUAGCCUUCAACCCGACUACCGGUGCCGGGACCAUUUUUGAUUCAGGUAAUAAUGUCUUCAUUUACAUUUAACAUCUUCUACUUCUUAACAAAAUGCAUUUUAGUAUAGUUUUACAAUCAUAAUUCAUAAGUAUACAUUUAUCAUUGUCAUUUUUAACUUUGGACAUGUAUUCUUUUCUCAAACAAAAAUACUUUGGACAUGUGUUUUAGAUGAUAAUACAAUACAUGUGUGUUUAAAUUACUAUUAUGCUUUGAAUUUUUCCUAGGUUUUAUGUUGUGUAUUUCCUAUAUAUAUAUAUACCUUCAAAACAUGGGGCGCAAUCUUGAGUAAGUAGUCAUAUUAUGUUCACAUUCUCAAGAAAACAAAGGAAAGUGGGUUUCAUGUUUGAAUGUGUGAUGACAAAAUUAAGGUCAAGUCCCCUCAAAAAAAAAAAAAAAAUUAAGGCCAAGUUGAGACAAAUUUGUCAAAAUCCUACACGUGACUAGGCCAUAUGUAUGACUUUGUAUUAUGUACUCAUGCUCCACAUGUCUUGUACAAAAAGCACCAACCACCAUUUUGAAAUCGAGAUUACGUACAAGUACAAUUAUAUUUUUAUUUUUUUGAGGGAAGUACAAUUAUAAUUAUAAUCACCGCACAUCCAUUUUUUCAUUAAAGAAAUACGAGAAUGAUGAUCUUGAAAAUAAAUUAUCAAGAUUGAAGCAAACAACAAUAAAACUAAGAUAUCAUUCUAACUAUGUUACCAAGGAUAAUAAUAAUAAUAAUAGAUUUAAUGGUUUAUACAAUGAAGACUCUCAUCAUACCUAUACAUAAACAUAUAUACUUUGUAAUCUUUUCAAAUAAUACGUACAUAAUUUGUAUUUCAUGUUAACGUAAAAUUAGUUUACAAUAAUCUUACUAAAGAUAUGGUUUACACUAAUUUAUAUUUAACGGUCCAUAUUUUAUUUUCUCAUGUCAAUUUCACUAAACAUUUUCUAAAUCUGAUUUUCUUGUUGAAUACUACCAGGUACCGUAUUUACUCGACUAGCUGAACCGGUAUACACCGCCGUAAGAAACGAGUUUCGCCGACGAGUUGGCCCAAAACUACCUGUGACAACCCUAGGAGGGUUCGACACAUGCUACAAUGUCCCAAUAGUUGUACCAACUAUAACAUUCUUGUUCUCAGGCAUGAAUGUAACACUACCACCAGACAACAUCGUCAUACACAGCACCGCCGGUAGCACAACAUGUUUGGCCAUGGCAGGAGCACCCGAUAACGUGAACUCGGUGUUGAACGUGAUAGCCAACAUGCAACAACAAAACCACCGUGUGCUAUUUGAUGUACCCAACUCAAGAAUUGGUAUUGCUCGUGAGCUUUGCACCUAAUAAGUGGUUCUUGGUUAAGAUCAAUUUUCUUAGGUACAAUAAUAAUCUUGUCGAAUUGGGAUUAUGAGUUAAUUAUUUGGGUAGUUGGUAUUUUAUUUUUAUUCAUGUCAUUUGGGUUUUGGUAUUGCUAAGAGUUUAUUGCUAACUAUGUAGUAAGAUAUUGAACUACCAUAUGUAAGGAAUUGGUAAAUGUAAGUUUCGAAGUUUGAAGUAUUUAUAUUGUAUCUUUGUAAUGGUAUUUGCCACGGGCAUAUAUAGCACUUAAUUAAGUUGUUUUAUUGAAUAUGAUUAUUGAAUUUACGGGUCUUUACAAAGUUUACAUAUGAUGUUGAAAUUUUAAUUUGCAAUGUGGAAUAGAAAAACUCUAUUGGAGCGAAUACUGAAUAGAGUAGUAUAGGGAAAAUUUUCGCAGUUGCUUCUUUUGGUCCAAUUUCGCUGCUAUAUAUGUUAUCCAAUUUUUGCAGCUUUUCUCGUUGUUGCAACCAUUGAUUCAUCGAAUUCAAGCAAUUGAUCUUUUAUCAGAGAAGAGAAGUAAUGUGCGUGUCUGCUAGGGUUUUUCUCAACGUGGCCUCGUCGCCACCAAUUUUUUUCGAGGAAGUUCCUUACCUCAGCCACCACACUGCCAAGAAAACCACCAACAUGGCCACAACGAUCAUCUGCACAUGCCCUUGCUAAUUUUGAUGAUAUCGCUUUUUAAUUUAACUAACAAAACCUUCCGUCAAAGGGGAUUCAGUUUAUCUUAAAAUUACCCGGGAAGUUCAUGAUCAUGAUGUAACAUCUUUAAAAAAAAAAAACUUACACGUUCGAUUGGUUAUGAUCAAGGUGUAAUAUAUUAAAAUGAAAUGAUUGUGGUCAUCAUGGUUUAAUUUUGAAUAGAUACACAAAAUUGUGUUACCUUUCGAAAAUUUGAAACAUAUUUGAUUUCUGGUGGAUUCUAGGGUGAACCAUCAAACAAAUAGUUCAUCGGUGAACCAUUUAAUUUUUACCAUCAGAUAAGAUUAACGGUAUAGAUCAACCAUAAUUAAAAAAGAGAAUAUUUACAAUUGCCCACAUACAAUCUUGUCAUACCUCACCUUCUUAAUUCACUCUGGUGCCUUUUUCUAUUAACGUGAACCAUUGGUUUAAACUCAUGUUUUAUUUUGAAAGAAUUAAAACUCAUGUUCUAUGUUUUUACUAAUUUGGUUUGAAUUUUCUUCAAAUGCUUAUAUAAAUAACCAGAAUGGGUGUUAAUCAAGAAAAGCUGAAAUCCCAUUGAUUUAAAUGUUCUUCCUGUUUUCAUCUUAUUCAAAUAUUAAGAAAAUUAAUCAAUCAUCAAAACUUAAUUCAAAGGACAGGCGCUUCAAACACAGGAGUUUGAAAUUGGGUAUUAUAUUUGCCUUAAAAGAGGGAGAAGGAGCAGUUAGUUAUGAUUGAAAUUAACAAAAGAGGGGAAAUUAAUGAUUGAAAAUUUUUCUGCUUUAAAAAAAAAAAAAAACACCAGUUAAUUAUGGUAGUGGUGGUGGUGUUGGUGACGGUACGAGCAGUCACCAUGGGAUGAGGAUGCAUGUUGUAGUUGUGAUGAGACUCAAAAACAAGGGAGAAGUAGAGGACAAGAUUGUGUGUGGUCAAUUGUCAAUAUUCUCUUUUUAAAUUUUAAUGGAUCUAAACCAUUGAUAUCAUCUGAUGGUAAAUAUUAAAUGAACCACCGGUGAACCACUUGUUUGAUGGUUCACCCUAGAAUCCACCUUGAUUUUUUGGUUCAAAUAUUUAUCUUGUAUAUAAUGUAUUACUGACAGAUAUUUAUCUCAUAUAUUUUUUUUUUGUAUUUAUCAAAUACUAGUGUUUGUUUUGUACUUCUUUGUUAUAUUUAUCAGUUACGAAUAUAUCCUGUAUUUUUUUAGAUGAGUGUUAUUUGAACAACUAUUUGGUGGACAACUUAUGAGACAAUCAUAAUUUACAAAGAAAAAGUAGGUAUUGACAAGAAAAUCAAAGCAAUAGGGAGAUAAAGUAAAAAAAUAAUGUAAAUAUGAGAAAGAAAGUUAUCACAAAAGUUGUCAAAAAAUGAAUGUUCAAAUAUCAUUUCUCACUUUUUUAGAUCCAUGUUUCCGUUGUUUUGUUUUUUGAACUUUAAAAAUUCAUAAUUAAUCUGUCAUUUGUUGGAAAAUUCUGAUUUUAUGUAAAAAGUCAUAUUUUAAAAUCAUAAACAACUAUGAACCUUCUGAUGUUAUUCAUCAAGAAAGUUCAAGUUACUGCAGUACAGUCAUUGGUAAAUGAUACAAACCAUUUCGCACCAAAGAUAUUAGAAACAGGGGCAUGGCUUCAAACAUCAUAAUCAUAAUGAAUAAAAUCAAACGGUUCAUCACUUCUAGUAAGGUUUGAAGGAAAAAUAGUUUGAUGGUGCUUAGAUUUCUGCGCAAUUAUCCUAUGUAAUAUAAGAAACACUGGGAGUAUAUUUAAAAGGUUAGAAAUGAGUACAAUGUGUACAAUUUUUCAAAGGGAGAAGCACCAAACGACAACAAUGUGUACAAUUUUUCAAAUAAAAAAUGAACGUAAAACAUAAAAAAAUUAACCUUAAAAAAUUGUCUUCGAUAUGAAUUUUAGCAAUUCCAACCGUGAAAGAGAAAUGAUAUUUGUAGAAUCAAUUUAUGACAAUUUUUUGAUAACUUUCUCUUUCAUAUUUAUAUUAUGCUCUCAUUCUCUCUAUUCCUUUUUCUCUCUAUUAUUUUUUACCAAUGAAAAAAAAAAAAUUAUCACAAAAGUUAUUUCAAAUAGUUUUUCAAAUAUCACUAUAGACUUAAUGUGAAAAUAAGUUUUUUUAUCGAAUCAAAUACUAGCAAUGCAAAUUAAUUACAAAAGUUACUAUUUAUCAUAAAAUUUUAAUGACGCGUAUCCUUUUAAUUUUUAUAAGAAAUUGUAAAAAUUAGACAACAAAAUCACUUACUCCUUUCAUUUCACAAUAAUAUUUGCAUCACUCAUAAUUCAAUAUGUUUUAAUGAAAAUAAUUUUUUUAGUUAUACAUUUUUCUUAAUUGAUAUGAAAGAAUCAAAUUAACUAUCAUUAAAAAACAAAUGGUGUAAUAUUUCUUAAAAGAUAAACAAAAUACAUCAGUACGACUAAAAUCCAUGUCAAAGUCAUCACCAAACACAAUCCGUGUAAAAGAAAAGAAAUCCGUAUGAAAAGAAUCUUCUUACUAGUUCUUACUUCUUAUCCAAAUUUUGUCUGCAAAAAACAACUAUAACAUGUAUGAAACCACCAUGACUAUUGGUCAUAACAUCAACAAUAAUAAAGUCUUAUUAUUAAGACGUGUUGCCCUUUCCAAGUUGCAAUUGCAAUCUUUCUAAAACCCACUCAUACAAUCUUCUUAAACAAAAAAACUCUUACACGUUUUUUCCUCUCUCUCCUUCCAACCCAAAAUAUGGACGCUAACCGCCGCGUCGUGCGGACGCUAGUAUCAAAACUAAGCUCCGUUUCAGAAAAAACCCGAAUCGAAUCACUCAUCGAGCUUCGUCAAUUAUCAAAACAAGAUCCAUCAACCCGACCCAUAAUAGCCGAAUCAGGCGCAAUCCCUUACCUCGCUGAAACCCUCUAUUCUUCUUUACACCCUUCUCAAGAAAACGCUACAGCAACACUUUUAAACCUUUCCAUAACGGAAAAAGAACCUAUCAUGUCCACGCGCGGUGUUCUCGACGCGCUUGCGCAUGUGAUUUCUCAUCAUUCAUCUACCUCCGCCGCCGCUGCUGUUCAAUCCGCCGCCGCUACGAUUCACAGCCUUCUUUCCUCGGUGGAUGAUUAUCGUACUGUUGUUGGAUCUAAACGUGAGAUUGUUUAUGCGCUUGUUGAUAUUCUUCGUUGCCACCGUUCCUCACCGCCAAGAACGGUGAAGGAUUCAUUGAAAGCGCUUUUUGCAAUCGCACUUCAUCCAUUGAAUCGUGCUACGAUGGUUCAAUUUGGUGUUGUUCCCGCGUUGUUUUCGUUGAUCGUUAAUGAUGGUAGAGUAGGGAUUGUUGAAGAUGCUUCCGCAGUUAUUGCGCAGGUUAUUACAAUUUUUGAUAGUACUCAUAUCUAUAGAAAUGUAUAUAGAAAGAAGAAGUUGAAUUUAAUUAAGUGCUCGUUUGAAUUGUCUUAUAUUUUAGCUUAUUAGCUUAUGAAAAAUAGUUUAUGUAAAUAAAUAAAUAAAUGUUAAUUUAUAAGUUUUCACUAACUAAAAUUGUAUUUCAUGAGCUGUUUUUUCAUAAACUAGCUUGACAAGCUUAUGAAUUGUACUUAAAAGCUUAUUUAGUUGCAUAAACUGUUUUGUGUAGAUUCAAAAAUAAUUCAAUCCAAACAGGCCCUACGCCUUAAGUAAUACAAUGAGAUAGUCGGUUAGAACAACUAACUCUAACUGAUGUGUAACUAACUUUUAUAUCUUUGAUUCAGGUCGCCGGUUGCGAGGAAAGUGUUGAGGCGUUUAAGAAGGUUUCUGGUGUGGGAGUGCUGGCGGAUUUACUUGAUCUUGCUACCGGUUCGAGUAUGAGGACGAGGGAAAAUGCGGUGUCGGCAUUGCUUAAUCUUGUGAGAUGUGGUGGAGAUGUGGUGGCUGGAGAUGUAAGAGACGCGGUGGCGUUUGGUGCGAUGGAUGGAAUUGCUGAUGUUAAAGAUAAAGGAAGUGUUAAGGGGCAGAGUAAGGCGAUGGAGUUGAUGAGAGUGAUGGUUGGUGAUGUUCGUAGUCACGGUGAUGUUCGUAGUCAAGGUGAUGUUCGUAAUCAUGGUAAUGUUGGUUUGAAUAGUGAUUCGUCGUUUGGUUCUUAUAUGAAUGAAGAUAGUGGUACGUCAUUUUGAAUGAUGGUUUGUCGUUUUGGUCUCUUGGUGAAAUGAGUUUUAGGUUGGCGGAUCAUGUACAAAAAUAGAUUAGAAUUCUGUUGUUGUUGCUGUUACUAUUAAUGACAUGUUGUUAUGAUUCUAUUGAUUUUUAUGUUAUGAUAUGAGAAAUAUCAUGAUAUGUUGUACAUUCUAACAAAGAAAACGCUCAUUAAUUGAAAAGGUUAUUCUUCUUCUGGUGUGUAGAGUGCUUUUGAUUUGAAGUUGGGUUUAUAAUCUGUGAAAGAUUCAAGCUAUAAAACGAAGAAAGUAGUGAAUAGUUAUGAAUUAUUUCUGUUUAUGAGAUCAUUGCUAGCAACUUUUAAAUGAAAUGAUGGAUAUUCAGUGAACAUAUAUGUUGAUUACAGAACAUAAGGGCUCCAAAGCCUCACUUGUGUCUUCAAUAUGAUUGGUUACCAAUCUACCAUGUAAAAGUUUCCAACCAAAACAAUAGAUUCUCACACUAAACUUCAUCUUCUACAAAUCCUUCCUUAUGCAUGAGAUGAAAGCCACUCAAACUCAUGCACUUGCCACAGAAAAAACACCCAAACCAUUUUCAGGCUAAAUUCUAAUAUCAGCUUCAAGAUCCUCAGAGAGAUGGUAAAACUGCAGAUCCUUUAAGAAAAACUUAUUGCUUAAGGUCCAAAAAAGAUACGUUUUCCACAAGCUGCGUAACACAUGCAUAACUGAUUAAAUGGAGAGAGAAAAAGGAAGAGAUAGAAUAAAAGUAUAAUGUGAGUAUGAGAGAGAAAGUUGUCACAAAAUGAUUGUACAAAUAUCAUUUAUCUUUAUAAAUACACAUUGGAGGCGUGUUACUAUACAAAACAAAAUUAAAAAUAAAUAAGGUUAGGACAAUAGUAAAAGUCCACAACAACCCAUAUAAUUACAUUUUCUUAAAACAUUUUUUAAGGUUGAUGUGAAGAACAACCAAUUGAUUGGUCUAAGUGUAAGCACUUACACCCCCUUAAACAAGUGGUUGAGGGUUUGGGCUCUGACUCUUGUCGGUGGAAAAAAUUCGAUUGAGAAGAGAGAAUUUAUAUUGUUCAUUCGACAGAGAUUAAUCAAACGCUAAACAACAGUAAAAUUUCGUACUACUAAAAAAACUUCCUUGAGGAGCAGGAUUGUGUUAGAAUUUCUUAAUGAGAAAUGCUAUUUGGCAAGACAUUAAGCAUUUGUUGUUCUCUAUGGUUACACAAUAACAUAAGAACCUUUAUCCUUUUGAUUGCCCUUUACAAGAAGGGCUAUAUUGAUAAUUCGUUAAGUAGCAAUUAAUUAAGAGACUUGUUCAAAAAAAGCAAUUAAUUAAGACAAAAAAAAAAAAAACAGUACCGAAAGAAAAAAAACGACAUACACCGAAAUAAAUUGAGCUUAAAUAUGCUUUUAAUCCUUGCAAAUAUAAUAAGUUUGGAUUUUCGUCCCUGGUAAAAAAAAAAUUUGAAAUUCAUCCCUGCAAAAUUUUUUGUUUUUUAAAAUAAUCCUUAGAUCCACUUUUGUGCUAAUUUGUCCAAUUUUUGCCUAUGUGGCAAAUGUUGACCGUGCAAAUUUGACCACGUGGCUUCCAUGUGUCAAUUUUGUCAUUUAAUAUAUUUAAAAAACAUUUUAAAAAUCAAGUAAUUUAUUUUUUAAAUUAAAAAAAAUCAAUUAAGGAGAGAGAGCAUGAUUACCCCAUCCGAGACCUUCAUAUUUUUCCCUUUCUUCUUCAAAAUUUCAUUUUAUUCCCUUUCUUCAAUUCAUCUUUGUAACAUAACAAUAACAACAAACUCUCUUCACCCAAAAUAAACACCCAAAUUCUCAUAACCUAACCCUCACGAAAAUUCCCAAUUUCUCAAAACCUAAACCCUGAUUGAAUCAAAAUCAAAUUGAAUUGGAUAUAGAUCAAGCAAGGAAAAGCAACGAAGAUGAAGAUGAGAAAACUUGAUAGGGGUUUACUUAUUCAUCUUCUUUAUAUGUAUGUCAACAAAAACAUACCCUCUUUUUCCAACUUUUCAAUGUUUUUGUUAAGAGACAAGGUUCAUGUUUCUGAUCUGCGUGUUUAAAGGCUGUUGUUAUUGUUGUUAAUGGUGUUGAGGUCAAACCUUAGUUUUCUUAAUUUUUCUAUUGUUCUGUUCCUUUAGCUGAUUGUGUUGUUGUUGGGUUUACCGUUAUGACGUUUGAUGAUGUUAAGUGUUGUUUGAUUUUCUUGGGAGAAGGGUAGCAUCUGAGAAUAGUGAGGAUGUUUUUUGAUGAAUUUGAUUUGGGAUCUUAGUAAUAGUGAGGGUAUGAAUAAUGGGUUGAUUUGAGAAUGGAAUCAUGUUGUUAUGUGAUUGUUAUGGAUGCUGAUCUUAUGGAAGAGGAAGAAAAAGCUGAGAUGUAGAAGAUCAAGAAGAGGAAACUAAUAUUCUGUUAAAAAAAAGAGGAAAUUAAUAUAAAAAAAAAGAAAACAAAUAAAAACAUUUAUAGAUUUAUUGAUUUAUUUUAUAUUUAUUUAAUUUCAUUUAAAAUCCACAUGUACAAAAUGAUACAGUCAGCAAGUGACACCUAAGCAAAAACCUGCCAAAUAAGCAAGAAAGUGGGUCUAGGGACUACUUUAAAAAAUAAAAAAAUUUGCAGGGAUAAAUUUCAAUUUUUUUUUUACUGGGGACCAAAACCCAAACUCAUUAUAUUUACAGAGAUUAAAGGCAUAUUUUAGCCAAUAAAUUGAUUAUUGAAUUUGAAUGAAAACCUUCAUUUCUUUAGAUUGGAUAUAUGCGAUAUUUUUCUCAUACAGAUUAGCAUUUUCUUUCUUAACUAAGG
rnacentral:lncRNA from 1 species